UUCUUUUUUUGUUUUUCGUUUUUGUUUUUUAUUCCAUUUUUUCUUGUACAAAUAAUUUGAGAUUUCAAAUAAGUUCCAAAAUUCAAACAAAUUGAAUUUCGAACAAGUUUGUGGAGCCAAAAAAAAUUCCUUGAAUUCGAAUAAUGUUCACGAAUUUGAAAAAAAUAAUCAUGAUUUCGAAAAAUGUGCAUGAAUUUUAAUAUUAAUAAAAACAAAUAUCAGAUGAACAAAUUUUGAAUUUGAUGAAUAUUUUUCUAAUUUGAGUAUAAAUUCUCAAUUCAAGAACAUUUUUUUGAAAAUUGGAUGGACUUUUAGAAAAAUUGGAUGAACAUUUUUUAAAUUAUGGUGAAUUGUUUUCAUUUCACAAACAUUUUUUGAAUUAGAUAACAUUUUUUUUUGAAAUUGAUGAAAAAAUUAUCAAUUCAAGAACAUUUCUUUGAAAUCGGAUGAACUUGUUAAAAAAUGGAUGAACAUGUUUUGAAUUUAAUGAAAAUUUUCUAAAUUAUGGUGAACAAAUUUUGAAUACGACGAACAAAUUUUGAAUUUCAUCAUGAACAUUUUUUGAAUUAGAUGAACAUAUUUUUAUAUCAAUGGACAAAAAAAUAUUCAUGAUUUGAGUAAAAGUUCAUGAAAAUGAGAAAAACAAAAACAAAGAAGAAAAAGGAAAAGAUAAUAGUAAUCGAAAACAAAGUAAAGAAAAAUGAUAAACAAAAAGGAAAGCAAAAAAGGAAAAAAUGAAAAAGAAAAUGAAAAAGGAGAGAAAUACAGAGAGAAAAAACCGACCAAACAUGAUCAACCUGGGCAAGCCCACUUAUGCGCAGCGGGGAGGGGGCGGGGGGCACGCGUGUGGUCGCUUCGCGGCGACCUAAGCGCCGAAUAGGAGCUGCCCGGGGCCUGGACCCUGGGUGACCGGGGGCCAGCUCUGCCCCAACGACUGAGACGGUGACGCUGACCGCGGUGGGGAAGGAUAUGGCUGAGAGCAACUAACUGGAGGUUCCGAGAGUUGCUAAAAAAAUAGGAGGUUCCUAGACUAUAAAAACCUGACUCGAGGUUAUCCCUUGCGGGGACCCAAGGGUCACUUUUGGUGUUCUUAGAGCACGCUGAAAGGAUCGAUAUAGUUGACUAGAGGGAGGGUGAAUAGGCAACUAACAAUUUUUAGCUUUUCUUUACCAAUUUAAACUUUGCAUCAAAGUAGGUUGUCUAGAUAUGCAACUAGGUGAGCAACCUAUAUGAUGCAACAACAAUAAGCACACAUGCAAGCAAGAGAUAAAGCACAAAUAAGCUUGCACAAGUAAAGGCACGAGAUAACCAAGAGUGGAGCCGGUGAAGACGAGGAUGUGUUACCGAAGUUCCUUCCCUUUGAGAGGAAGUACGUCUCCGUUGGAGCGGUGUGGAGGCACAAUGCUCCCCAAGAAGCCACUAGGGCCACCGUAUUCUCCUCACGCCCUCACACAAUGCGAGAUGCCGUGAUUCCACUAUUGGUGCCCUUGGAGGCGGCGACCGAACCUUUACAAACAAGGUUGGGGCAAUCUCCACAACUUAAUUAGAGGCUCCCAACGAUACCACGAAGCUUCACCACAAUGGACUAUGGCUCCGCGGUGACCUCAACCAUCUAGGGUGCUCAAACACCCAAGAGUAACAAGAUCCACAAGGGAUUAGUGGGGGGAUUCAAAUUUCUCUUGGUGGAAGUGUAGAUCGGGACCUCCUCAACCAAUCCCUAGAGAAUCAACAAGUUUGAUUGGCUAGGGAAGGAGAUCGGGCGAAAAUGGAGCGUGGAGCAACAAUGGAGCUUGGAGGUGGAAGAGGUAGUCAACUAGAGGAGGAAGACACCCCUUAUAUAGUGGAAGAACAAAUCCAACCGUUAUCCACCAACUCAGCCUGCGCAGCACGGUACUACCGCACCUGAGGCACGGUACUACCGCAGGGCCCCGCGGUACUACCGCCCACGCAGCAGAGACCAGAACAGCAAAAAAUGCACUAAAGCAGAGGGCGGUAGUACUGCUGGCGCGGUACUACCGCUCCCCCUUGCGGUACUACCGCAAGGCAGGUGCUGCCAGGGAUGGGAAGGCACGGAUAUAAAAAUUACAUCCGUGGCUACUUCCGCAGAGUUGGAGUCGAUGCAAAAACCCGACGCGGUAGCACCGUAAGCUAGCAGCGGUACUACCGCGCGAGGCGCGGAUGUAAAAAAUUACAUCCGCCCCUUACUGCCGCGUACUUGCGGAACUAAGUUAGAGACCACGGUACUACCGCUUACUAGAAGCGGUACUACCGUGGGUCCUUGCGGUACUACCGCACCAGCGGGCGGUACUACCGCGAGGUCCUGCGGUACUACCGCUCUAAGGAGCAGUACUACCGCAUGCCCUAGUUCGGCAAGCAAGAGCAAUAUUUGCAUAGACAAGGAAAACAAAGGAUGCUCCAAAGGCUAGAGGAAAGGAGGUGCAAAGGAAGAUGUGUACGUGAUGAAUCCACCCAACCUUACGCGGACCCCCUCUUAAUAGUACGACUUCCCUACGACUCAAUACCACCGAAAAGAAACGAAGAGAAACGCCGUCUUCUAUAGCCUUCGAGGGGAACCAAAUCGUCUUGUGCCUAGUCAAUAUAUCUGAAAUAUUCGAUGCACAUGAUUAGUCCGCAAAAGCAUUGUCAUCAAUCACCAAAACCAACUAAGGGAUAAAAAUGCCCUUACAAUCUCCCCCUUUUUGGUGGAUUGAUGACAACACGGGAUUUGCACGAGGUUAUAACGCAAAGAGCAAGGGCAAACCCCCAAGUCUCUAAAAUAUAGACGGGCUCCCCCUAGAUGUGUGCUAUCUCGAUGAGUGCUUUGGACUGCAUGGCACACAUACUAGGAUCAACACUCCCCCUAUAUUUUAUAGACAUGGCAAAUCUUGCAAUAAGGCUAAAGCUAAGCAAGAUAGAUAGGAGCAUAGUGUAAUAAGCAUAAUAUAGAAUAAGCUCACUACGGUACGAUAGAGUGCAUAUGUCUUACACCAUAUGAUCGAAGGUAGGUCUCAUGAGCACAAACCAAAGCAAACCAAAGCAAACGAAAUAAACGAAGUUCAACUGACCCAAACACGACACAACUCGCAAAUCCUACACUCCCUCCCCCUUUGGCAUCGAGACGCCAAAAAGGCAGAGAGGAAACCUACAGCAAUAGUGGUGGCUCAAGCGGAGUAGUCACUUGCACGCUCCCCGUCAGACUCUGCAGCUCGGACGGACUCCUUCUCAGACUCGGUCCACCGAUAACCCUGCUUGUGCAUCCAUUCUACCUCUGGGGUGAUGUUCACCUCUGACCCGCUAGAUAUGUUCUCGCCAAAGGUCCUGAAAAUCCGCUUGUCGUGGCGGCGAGUCUCCUUGGAAGCCACAUGGGUCUGGUACUGCCCCUUUGCCUGCAUACAGAACAACAUCUUCAUCUUGUUCUUCAGUCGCUUAGCCCAAGAAGGCUCAGAGGUGGGAGGGAUGUAAACCUCAGAGUUGUCCUCGUCUGCUGCCUCCUCCUCCUCCUCAUCUGCAUCCACGUCCAUGGCAGCCGCAGUAUCAGCACGAGAGGUAGUGUUGGCCCACUGAGGCUUGAUACGGAGGUUGAUGGGCUCAUGCCGGAUCCAACCAGGGGCCUCAAACUCAUCCUGAGGGUAGACCCGCUCCCAAGUGGCCGAGAUCAACUGAAACAAAUAAGGUCCAUAGAUGGGGACCUUGCGGUUGUAGACCGCAAACCGAAGCUCAUGCCACAUGAUAUGUGAGACAUCAAGUGGUAAUGUCUGAGAGUUGCGAGCAUCUUCACACAGGAGCAUCAUAUCCACCAGAUAGGCAUGCACCUUGUCCUUGUCCCCAAUGCGUGGGAAGAGAGUGUUGCGGAAGAUCUGGUGCAUGAUGUCAAGAAAGGAGUUGAGUACCCAAGAUGACUUGCCAUUGGAGAGCCUCUUCUCCACAUAGUAGGGCAUAAGCUUGUUCUUGUUGGCAGACUCGGGAUUGGCAUGAGGGCGAACACCUUGGGGUGUGGCGAGCCCCUCAUCCGGAACCCCAAGCAAAGUCAUGAAUUCCUUCCAAGUAGCAGUCAGCUGCCGACCAUUGGUCAUCCAAGUCAUGGUCCUUUCCUCAUUGGGAUGAAAAUGCACUGAGGCAAAGAACUGAGCAAGGAUCUCAGGAUCAUAGUCUUUGUGGAAUGAGAUGAUAUGCUCAAUGCCAAAUUGCUCCACUAGGUCUAAAGCCUCACCAAAGUAUUCCCAGUGCGCCUCUUUUCGCAUGUGAUGCAUGUUGAUCCACUUCACCUCCACAUAGGUGUUUUGCUUGGCCUUGAUGACAUCCAGAUAAAUGAGAUUCUGCUUCUUGGUCCAGAAUAGCUCAUUCCCUCGAAAGUUGGCAUGAGGGUUUCCAUAUGGAUUGAUCUUCCUCCGAGAGAUGAACUCAGUGUUGGGGAUUGUUGCAGAAAUUUAAAAUUUUCUACGCAUCACCAAGAUCAAUCUAUGGAGUCAUCUAGCAACGAGAGAGAGAGAGAGGAGUGCAUCUACAUACCCUUGUAGAUCGCGAGCGGAAGCGUUCAAGAGAACGGGGUUGAUGGAGUCGUACUCGUCGUGAUCCAAGUCACCGAUGAUCCUAGCGCCGAACGGACGACACCUCCGCGUUCAACACACGUACGGAGCGGAGACGUCUCCUCCUUCUUUGAUCCAGCAAGGGGGAAGGAGAAGUUGAUGGAGAUCUUGUUCGAAAUAUGCCCUAGAGGCAAUAAUAAAUUGGUUAUUAUUAUAUUUCCUUGUUCAUGAUAAUCGUUUAUUAUCCAUGCUAAAAUUGUAUUGAUAGGAAACUCAGAUACAUGUGUGGAUACAUAGACAACACCAUGUCCCUAGUAAGCCUCUAGUUGACUAGCUCGUUGAUCAAUAGAUGGUUACCGUUUCCUGACCAUGGACAUUGGAUGUCAUUGAUAACGGGAUCACAUCAUUAGGAGAAUGAUGUGAUGGACAAGACCCAAUCCUAAGCCUAGCACAAGAUCGUGUAGUUCGUUUGCUAAGAACUUUUCUAAUGUCAAGUAUCAUUUCCUUAGACCAUGAGAUUGUGCAACUCCCGGAUACCGUAGGAAUGCUUUGGGUGUACCAAACGUCACAACGUAACUGGGUGGCUAUAAAGGUGCACUACAGGUAUCUCCGAAAGUGUCUGUUGGGUUGGCACGAAUCGAGACUGGGAUUUGUCACUCCGUGUAAACGGAGAGGUAUCUCUGGACCCACUCGGUAGGACAUCAUCAUAAUAUGCACAAUGAGACCAAGGAGUUGAUCAUGAGAUGAUGUGUUACGGAACGAGUAAAGAGACUUGCCGGUAACGAGAUUGAACAAGGUAUCGGGAUACCGACGAUCGAAUCUCGGGCAAGUAACAUACCGAUUGACAAAGGGAAUUGUAUAUGGGAUUGAUUGAAUCCCCGACAUCGUGGUUCAUCCGAUGAGAUCAUCGUGGAACAUGUGGGAGCCAACAUGGGUAUCCAGAUCACGCUGUUGGUUAUUGUCCGGAGAACGUCUCGGUCAUGUCUGCAUGGUUCCCGAACCCGUAGGGUCUACACACUUAAGGUUCGAUGACGCUAGGGUUAUAGGGAAUAUAUAUACAUGGUUACCGAAUGUUGUUCGGAGUCCCGGAUGAUAUCCCGGACGUCACGAGGAGUUCCGGAGGUAAAGAUUUAUAUAUGGGAAGUCCCGUUUUGGCCACCCGAAGAGUUUCGGGCGUCACCGGUAAUGUACUGGGACCACCGGAGGGUUCCGGGGGUCCACCGGGAGGGGCCACCAGCCCCGGAGGGCCCUAUGGGCUGUAUGUGGAGAGGGACCAGCCCCUUAGUGGGCUGGGCGCCUUCCCUCCCAGGGCCCAUGCGCCUGGGGGUUUGGGGGAACCCUAAGGGGAGGCGCCCCCCUUGCCUUGGGGGGCAAGGCAACCCCCCUGGCCGCCGCCCCCUCCUCAGAUUGGAUCUGAGGGGGCCGGCCCCCCUCUCCCUUGCCCCUAUAUAUAUGUGGGGGUGGGAGGGCAGCAGCAACCUAAGUUCUGUCGCAGCCCUCCCCUCUUCCAUGUCCUCCUCCUCUCCCGCGGUGCUUGGCGAAGCCCUGCGGGAUUGCCACGCUCCUCCAUCACCACCACGCCGUCGUGCUGCUGCUGGACGGAGUCUUCCCCAACCUCUCCCUCUCUCCUUGCUGGAUCAAGGCGUGGGAUACGUCACCGGGCUGCACGUGUGUUGAACGCGGAGGCGCCGUGAUUCGGCGCUUAGAUCGGAAUCAACCGCGAUCUGAAUCGCUAUGAGUACGACUCCUUCAUCCGCGUUCUUGCAACGCUUCCGCAUCGCGAUCUACAAGGGUAUGUAGAUGCACUCCCCUUCCCCUUGUUGCUAGAUUACUCCAUAGAUUGAUCUUGGUGAUGCGUAGAAAAUUUUGAAUUUCUGCUACGUUCCCCAACAGUGGUAUCAGAGCCAGGUUUAUGCGUAGUUUCUAUGCACAAGUAGAACACAAAGUAGUUGUGGGCGUCGAUUUUGUCAAUUUACUUGCCGUUACUAGUCUUAUCUUGAUUCGGCGGCAUCGUGGGAUGAAGCGGCCCGGACCGACCUAACACGUACUCUUAUGUGAGACAGGUUCCACCGACUGACAUGCACUAGUUGCAUAAGGUGGCUAGCGGGUGUCUGUCUCUCCCACUUUAGUCGGAUCGGAUUUGAUGAAAAGGGUCCUUAUGAAGGGUAAAUAGAAAUUGGCAUAUCACGUUGUGGCUUUUGCGUAGGUAAGAAACGUUCUUGCUAGAAUCCCAUAGCACCCCACGUAAAAAUGCAACAACAACUAGAGGACGUCUAACUUGUUUUUGCAGGGUAUGCUAUGUGAUGUGAUAUGGCCAAAAGGAUGUGAUGAAUGAUAUAUGUGAUGUAUGAGAUUGAUCAUGUUCUUGUAAUAGGAAUCACGACUUGCAUGUCGAUGAGUAUGACAACCGGCAGGAGCCAUAGGAGUUGUCUUAAUUUAUUGUAUGACCUGCGUGUCAAUGAAAACGCCAUGUAAUUACUUUACUUUAUUGCUAACCGUUAGCCAUAGUAGUAGAAGUAAUAGUUGGCGAGACAAUUUCAUGAAGACACAAUGAUGGAGAUCAUGAUAAUGGAGAUCAUGGUGUCAUGCCGGUGACGAAGGUGAUCAUGCCGCGCCUCGAAGAUGGAGAUCAAAGGCGCAUGAUGAUAUUGGCCAUAUCACGUCACUUUAUGAUUUGCAUGUGAUGUUUAUCAUGUUUACAUCUUAUUUGCUUAGAACGACGGUAGCAUAAAUAAGAUGAUCCCUCACUAAAAUUUCAAGAGACGUGUUCCCCCUAACUGUGCACCGUUGUGAAGGUUCGUUGUUUCGAAGCACCACGUGAUGAUCGGGUGUGAUAGAUUCUAACGUUCGAAUACAACGGGUGUUGACGAGCCUAGCAUGUACAGACAUGGCCUCGGAACACAUGCGAAACACUUAGGUUGACUUGACGAGCCUAGCAUGUACAGACAUGGCCUCGGAACACAAGAGACCGAAAGGUCGAACAUGAGUCGUAUAGUAGAUACGAUCAACAUGGAGAUGUUCACCGAUGAUGACUAGUCCGUCUCACGUGAUGAUCGGACACGGCCUAGUUUGACUCGGAUCAUGUAUCACUUAGAUGACUAGAGGGAUGUCUAUCUGAGUGGGAGUUCAUUAAAUAAUCAGAUGAACUUAAUUAUCAUGAACAUAGUCAAAAGGUCUUUGCAAAUUAUGUCAUAGCUUACGCUUUAGUUCUACUGUUUAAGAUAUGUUCCUAGAGAAAAUAUAGUUGAAAGUUGAUAGUAGCAAUUAUGCGGACUGGGUCCGUGAACUGAGGAUUGUCCUCAUUACUGCACAGAAGGCUUACGUCCUUAAUACACCGCUCGGUGUGCUGAACCUCGAGCGUUGUCUGUAGAUGUUACGAAACAUCUGACAUACACGUUUUGAUGACUACGUGAUAGUUCAGUGCGUAAUGCUAACGGUUUAGAAUUGUGGCACCAAAGACGUUUUUGAAACGUCGCAGAACAUAUGAGAUGUUCCGAAGACUGAAAUUUGGAUUUCAGACUAGUGCCCACGUCAAGAGGUAUGAGACCUCUGACAAGUUUCUUAAGCCUGCAAACUAAGGGAGAAAAGCUCAAUCGUUGAGCAUGUGCUCAGAUUGUCUGAGUACUACAAUCACUUGAAUCGAGUGGGAGUUAAUCUUCCAGAUGAGAUAGUGAUGGUUCUCCAUAGUCACUGCCACCAAGCUAUUAGAGCUUCGUGAUGAACUAUAACAUAUCAGGGAUAGACAUGAUGAUCCUUGAGCAACUCGCGAUGUUUGACACCGCGAAAGUAGAAAUCAAAUAGGAGCAUCAAUUGUUGAUGGUUAGUAAAACCACUAGUUUCAAGAAGGGCAAGGGCAAAAGGGAUACUUCAUGAAACAGCAAAUCAUUUGCUGCUCUAGUGAAGAAUCCCAAGGUUGAACCCAAACCCGAGACUAAGUGCUUCUGUAAUGAGGGGAACGGUCACUGAAGCAAAACUACCCUAGAUACGUGGUAGAUGAGAAGGCAGGCAAGGUCGACAGAAGUAUAUUGGAUAUACAUUAUAUGAAUGUGUACUUCACUAGUACUCCUAGCAGCACCAGGGUAUUAGAUACCGGUUCGGUUGCUAAGUGUUAGUAACUCGAAAUAAAAGCUGCGGAAUAAACGGAGACUAGCUAAAGGUGAGAUGACGAUAUGUGUUGGAAGUGUUUCCAAGGUUGAUGUGAUCAAGCAUCGCAUGCUCCCUCUACCAUCGAGAUUGGUGUUAAACCUAAAUAAUUGUUAUUUGGUGUUUGCGUUGAGCAUAAACAUGAUUGGAUUAUGUUUAUCGCAAUACGGCUGUUCAUUUAAGGAGAAUAAUGGUUACUCUGUUUAUUUGAAUAAUACCUUCAAUGGUCUUGCACCUAAAAUGAAUCUCGAUUGCCGUGAUACACAUGUUCGUGCCAAAAGAUAUAAAAUAGUAAUGAUAGUACCACAUACUUGUGGCACUGCCAUUUGAGUCAUAUUGGUAUAGAACGCAUGAAGAAGCUCCAUGUAGAUGGAUCUUUGGACUCACUCGUUUUUGAAAAGAUUGAGACAUGCAAACCAUGUCUAUUGGUAUAUAUGCAUGAAGAAACUCCAUGCAGAUGGAUCGUUUGGACUCACUUGAUUUUGAAUCACUUGAGACAUGCAAAUCAUACCACAUGGGCAAGAUGGCUGAAAGGCCUCGUUUUCAGUAAGAUGGAACAAGAAAGCAACUUGUUGGAAGUAAUACAUUUUGAUGUGUGCAGUCCAAUGAGUGCUGAGGCACGCAGUGGAUAUCGUUAUGUUCUUACUUCACAGACGAUUUGAGUAGAUGCUGAGUGUAUUUACUUAAUGAAACACAAGUCUGAAUUAUUGAAAGGUUCAAGUAAUUUCAGAGUGAAGUUGAAGAUCGUCGUGACAAGUGGAUAAAAUGUCUAUGAUAUGAUCAUAGAGAUAUCUGAGUUACGAGUUUGGCACACAAUUAAGACAUUGUGGAAAGUGUUUCACAAUUAAUACCGCUUGGAACACCACAGUGUGAUGGUGUGUCCGAACAUCAUAACUGCACCCUAUUGGAUAUGGUGCAUACCAUGAUGUCUCUUAUCGAAUUACAACUAUCGUUUAUGGGUUAGGCAUUAGAGACAACCGCAUUCACUUUAAAUAGGGCACCACGCAAUUCCGUUGAGAUGACACCGUAUGAACUACGGUUUAGAGAAACCUAAGCUGUCGUUUCUUAAAAGUUUGGGGCUGCGACGCUUAUGUGAAAAGGUUUCAGGCUGAUAAGCUCGAACCCAAAGCGGAUAAAUGCAUCUUCAUAGAAUACCCAAAACAGUUGGGUAUACCUCCUAUUUCAGAUCUGGAAGCAAAAGUAAUUGCUUCUAGAAACGAGUCCUUACUCGAGGAAAAGUUUCUCUUGAAAGAAUUGAGUGGGAGGAUGGUGGAGACUUGAUAAGGUUAUUGAACCGUCACUUCAACUAGUGUGUAGCAGGGCACAGGAAGUUGUUCUUGUGGCACCUACACCAAUUGAAGUGGAAGCUUAUGAUAGUGAUCAUGAAACUUCGGAUCAAGUCACUACCAAACCUCGUAGGUCGACAAGGAUAUGUACUACUCCUGAGUGGUACGGUAAUCCUGUCUUAGAUAUCAUGUUGUUAGACAAUACUGAACCUAUGAGCUAUGGAGAAGCGAUGGUGGGCCCAUAUUCCGACAAAUGGUUAGAAGCCAUGAAAUCCGAGAUAGGAUCCAUGUAUCAGAACAAAGCAUGGACUUUGGUGAACUUGCCCGAUGAUCGGCAAGCCAUUGAGAUAAAUGGAUCUUUAAGAAGAAGACGGACAUGGACGGUAAUGUUACCGUCUAUGAAGCUCGACUUGUGGCAAAGAGUAUUUUCACAAGUUCAAGGAGUUGACUACGAUGAGAUUUUCUCAUCCGUAGCGAUGCUUAAGUCCGUCAGAAUCAUGUUAGCAUUAGCUGCAUUUAUGAAAUCUGGCAGAUGGAUGUCAAAAACAAGUUUCCUUACCAGUUUUCGUAAGGAAAGGUUGUAUGUGAUACAAUCAGAAAGGUUUUGUCGAUCGUAAGGAUGCUAAAAGGUAUGCUAGCUCCAGCGAUCCUUCCAUGGACUAGAGCAAGCAUCUCGGAGUCAGAAUAUAUGCUUUGAUGGAGUGAUCAAAGUUUUUGGGUUUAUACAAAGUUUGUUAGAAACUUGUAUUUACAAUAAAGUGAGUGGGAGCGCUACAACAUUUCUGAUAAGUAUAUGUGAAUGACAUAUUGUUGAUCCGAAAUGAUGUAAAAUUUCUGGAAAGCAUAAAGGGUUGUUUGAAAGGAGUUUUUCAAAGGAAGACCUGGAUAAAGCUGCUUACAUAUUGGGCAUCAAGAUCUAUAGAGAUAGAUCAAGACGCCUGAUGAUACUUUCAAAGAACGCACACCUUGACAUGAUUUUGAAAGAGUUCAAAAUAGAUCAGCAAAGAAGGAGUUCUUGGCUAUGUUACAAGGUGUGAGUAUUGAGUAAGACUCAAGACCUGACCACAACAGAAGAGAGAGAAAGGACGAAGGUCGUCCCCUAUGCUUUAGACGUAGGCUCUACAGUAUGCUAUGCUGUGUACCGCACAUGAAGAGUGCCUUGCCAUGAGUUGGUCAAGGGGUACAAUAGUGAUCCGGGAAUGGAUCACAUGACAGCGGUCGAACUUAUGCUUAGUAUCUAGUGGACUAAGGAAUUUUCUCGAUUAUGGAGGUGAAAAGGAGUUCGUCGUAAAGGGUUACGUCGAUGCGAACUUUGACACUAAUCCGGAUGACUCUGAGUAGUAAACCGGAUUUGUAUAGUAGAGCAGUUAUUUGAAAUGGCUCCAAGUAGCGCGUGGUAGCAUCCACAAGAUGACAUAGAUAUUCGUAAAGCACACACGGAUCUGAAAGGUUCAGACCCGUUGACUAAUAACCUCUCUCACAAGCAUAACAUGAUCAAACCAGAACUCAUUGAGUGUUAAUCACAUAGUGAUGUGAACUAGAUUGUUGACUCUAGUAAACUCUUUGGAUGUUGGUCACAUGGUGAUGUGACCUGUGAGUGUUAAUCACAUGGUGAUGUGAAAUAGAUUAUUGACUCUAGUGCAAGUGGGAGACUGUUGGAAAUAUGCCCUAGAGGCAAUAAUAAAUUGGUUAUUAUUAUAUUUCCUUGUUCAUGAUAAUCGUUUAUUAUCCAUGCUAAAAUUGUAUUGAUAGGAAACUCAGAUACAUGUGUGGAUACAUAGACAACACCAUGUCCCUAGUAAGCCUCUAGUUGACUAGCUCGUUGAUCAAUAGAUGGUUACGGUUUCCUGACCAUGGACAUUGGAUGUCGUUGAUAACGGGAUCACAUCAUUAGGAGAAUGAUGUGAUGGACAAGACCCAAUCCUAAGCCUAGCACAAGAUCGUGUAGUUCGUUUGCUAAGAGCUUUUCUAAUGUCAAGUAUCAUUUCCUUAGACCAUGAGAUUGUGCAACUCCCGGAUACCGUAGGAAUGCUUUGGGUGUACCAAACAUCACAACGUAACUGGGUGGCUAUAAAGGUGCACUACAGGUAUCUCCGAAAGUGUCUGUUGGGUUGGCACGAAUCGAGACUGGGAUUUGUCACUCCGUGUAAACGGAGAGGUAUCUCUGGGCCCACUCGGUAGGACAUCAUCAUAAUGUGCACAAUGUGACCAAGGAGUUGAUCACGGGAUGAUGUGUUACGGAACGAGUAAAGAGACUUGCCGGUAACGAGAUUGAACAAGGUAUCGGGAUACCGACGAUCGAAUCUCGGGCAAGUAACAUACCGAUUGACAAAGGGAAUUGUAUACGGGAUUGAUUGAAUCCCCGACAUCGUGGUUCAUCCGAUGAGAUCAUCGUGGAACAUGUGGGAGCCAACAUGGGUAUCCAGAUCCCGCUGUUGGUUAUUGGCCGGAGAACGUCUCGGUCAUGUCUGCAUGGUUCCCGAACCCGUAGGGUCUACACACUUAAGGUUCGAUGACGCUAGGGUUAUAGGGAAUAGAUAUACAUGGUUACCGAAUGUUGUUCGGAGUCCCGGACGUCACGAGGAGUUCCGGAAUGGUCCGGAGGUAAAGAUUUAUAUAUGGGAAGUCCCGUUUUGGCCACCGGAAGAGUUUCGGGCGUCACCGGUAAUGUACCGGGACCACCGGAGGGUUCCGGGGGUCCACCGGGAGGGGCCACCAGCCCCGGAGGGCCCUAUGGGCUGUAUGUGGAGAGGGACCAGCCCCUUAGUGGGCUGGGCGCCUUCCCUCCCAGGGCCCAUGCGCCUGGGGGUUUGGGGGAACCCUAAGGGGAGGCCCCCCCUUGCCUUGGGGGGCAAGGCAACCCCCCUGGCCGCCGCCCCCUCCUCAGAUUGGAUCUGAGGGGGGCGGCCCCCCUCUCCCUUGCCCCUAUAUAUAUGUGGGGGUGGGAGGGCAGCAGCAACCUAAGUUCUGGCGCAGCCCUCCCCCUCUUCCAUGUCCUCCUCUUCUCCCGCGGUGCUUGGCGAAGCCCUGCGGGAUUGCCACGCUCCUCCAUCACCACCACGCCGUCGUGCUGCUGCUGGACGGAGUCUUCCCCAACCUCUCCCUCUCUCCUUGCUGGAUCAAGGCGUGGGAGACGUCACCGGGCUGCACGUGUGUUGAACGCGGAGGCGCCGUGAUUCGGCGCUUAGAUCGGAAUCAACCGCGAUCUGAAUCGCUACGAGUACGACUCCUUCAUCCGCGUUCUUGCAACGCUUCCGCAUCGCGAUCUACAAGGGUAUGUAGAUGCACUCCCCUUCCCCUCGUUGCUAGAUUACUCCAUAGAUUGAUCUUGGUGAUGCGUAGAAAAUUUUGAAUUUCUGCUACGUUCCCCAACAGAUCCAGCAGCACGACGGCAUGGUGGUGGAUGCAGCGGGAUUCCAGCAGGGCUUCGCCAAGCGCUACUGGAGGAGGAAUAGGUGUCACGGGAGGGAGAGGGAGGCGCCAGGGCUUAGGGUGCGGCUGCUCUCCCUCCCCUCCACUAUAUAUAGGGGCUAGGGGGGGCGCAUGCCCCCUUUGGAGAUCCCAUCUAGAGGGGGGGGGGCGGCCCCUCGGGGGGCAACGACCCCCUUAGGGUUUCCAACCAGGGGGGCGCAACGCCCCCUAGGGUUUCCAACCCUAGGCGCCUUGGGCCCUUGGGUGGGGCGCACCAGCCCACCAGGGGCUGGUUCCCACGCCACUUCAGCCCAUGGGGCCCUCCGGGAUAGGUGGCCCCGCCCCGUGGACCCCCGGGACCCUUCCGGUGGUCCCGGUACAAUACCGGUGACCCCCGAAACUCUCCUGGUGGCCGAAACUGGACUUCCUAUAUAUAAAUCUUUACCUCCGGACCAUUCCGGAACUCCUCGUGACGUCCGGGAUCUCAUCCGGGACUCCGAACAACUUUUGGUUAACCGCAUACUAAUAUCUCUACAACUCUAGCGUCACCGAACCUUAAGUGUGUAGACCCUACGGGUUCGGGAGACACGUAGACAUGACCGAGACAACUCUCCGGUCAAUAACCAACAGCGGGAUCUGGAUACCCAUGUUGGCUCCCACAUGCUCCACGAUAAUCUCAUCGGAUGAACCACGAUGUCGAGGAUUCAAUCAAUCCCGUAUACAAUUCCCUUUGUCAAUCGGUACGUUACUUGCCCGAGAUUCGAUCGUCGGUAUCCCAAUACCUCGUUCAAUCUUGUUACCGGCAAGUCACUUUACUCGUUCCGUAAUGCAUGAUCCCGUGACUAACUACUUAGUCACAUUGAGCUCAUUAUGAUGAUGCAAUACCGAGUGGGCCCAGAGAUACCUCUCCAUCAUACGGAGUGACAAAUCCCAGUCUCGAUCCGUGCCAACCCAACAGACACGUUCGGAGAUACCUGUAGUGCACCUUUAUAGCCACCCAGUUACGUUGUGACGUUUGGUACACCCAAAGCAUUCCUACGGUAUCCGGGAGUUGCACGAUCUCAUGGUCUAAGGAGAUGAUACUUGACAUUAGAAAAGCUUUAGCAAACGAACUACACGAUCUAGUGCCAUGCUUAGGAUUGGGUCUUGUCCAUCACAUCAUUCUCCUAAUGAUGUUAUCCCGUUAUCAAUGACAUCCAAUGUCCAUGGUCAGGAAACCGUAACCAUCUAUUGAUCAACGAGCUAGUCAACUAGAGGCUCACUAGGGACAUGUUAUGGUCUAUGUGUUCACACAUGUAUUACGAUUUCCGGAUAACACAAUUAUAGCAUGAACAAUAGAUAAUUAUCAUGAACAAGGAAAUAUAAUAAUAACCAUUUUAUUAUUGCCUCUAGGGCAUAUUUCCAACAGUCUCCCACUUGCACUAGAGUCAAUAAUCUAGUUACAUUGUGAUGAAUCGUACACCCAUAGAGUUCUGGUGUUGAUCAUGUUUCGCCCGUGGAAGAGGUUUAGUCAACGGAUCUGCGACAUUCAAAUCCGUAUGCACUUUACAAAUAUCUAUGUCUCCAUUUUGAACAUUUUCACAAAUGGAGUUGAAGCGAUGCUUGAUGUGCCUGGUCUUCUUGUGAAACCUGGGCUCUUUGGCAAGGGCAAUAGCUCCAGUGUUGUCACAGAAGAGAGUCAUCGGCCCCGAUGCAUUGGGAAUAACUCCUAGGUCGGCAAUGAACUCCUUCAUCCAGAUUGCUUCAUGUGCUGCCUCCGAGGCUGCCAUGUACUCCGCUUCACAUGUAGAUCCCGCCACGACGCUUUGCUUGCAACUGCACCAGCUGACUGCCCCACCAUUCAAAAUAUACACGUAUCCGGUUUGUGACUUAGAGUCAUCCAGAUCUGUGUCGAAGCUAGCAUCGACAUAACCCUUUACGACGAGCUCUUCGUCACCUCCAUAAACGAGAAACAUAUCCUUAGUCCUUUUCAGGUACUUCAGGAUGUUCUUGACCGCUGUCCAGUGUUCCAUGCCGGGAUUACUUUGGUACCUUCCUACCAAACUUACGGCAAGGUUUACAUCAGGUCUGGUACACAGCAUGGCAUACAUAAUAGACCCUAUGGCCGAGGCAUAGGGGAUGACACUCAUCUUUUCUCUAUCUUCUGUCAUGGUCGGGCAUUGAGCCGUGCUCAAUUUCACGCCUUGCAAUACAGGCAAGAACCCCUUCUUGGACUGAUCCAUAUUGAACUUCUUCAAUAUCUUGUCAAGGUAUGUGCUUUGUGAAAGACCUAUGAGGCGUCUCGAUCUAUUUCUAUAGAUCUUGAUGCCUAAUAUGUAAGCAGCUUCUCCAAGGUCCUUCAUUGAAAAACACUUAUUCAAGUAGGCAUUUAUGUUUUCCAAGAAUUCUAUAUCAUUUCCCAUCAAUAGUAUGUCAUCCACAUAUAAUAUGAGAAAUGCUACAGAGCUCCCACUCACUUUCUUGUAAACACAGGCUUCUCCAUAAGUCUGUGUAAACCCAAACGCUUUGAUCAUCUCAUCAAAGCGAAUGUUCCAACUCCGAGAUGCCUGCACCAGCCCAUAGAUUGAGCGUUGGAGCUUGCAUACCUUGUCAGCAUUCUUAGGAUCGACAAAACCUUCCGGCUGCAUCAUAUAGAAUUCUUCCUUAAGGAAGCCGUUAAGGAAUGCUGUUUUGACGUCCCUUUGCCAUAUUUCAUAAUCGUACAAUGCGGCAAUUGCUAACAUGAUUCAGACGGACUUCAGCUUCGCUACGGGUGAGAAGGUCUCAUCGUAGUCAACUCCUUGAACUUGUCGAUAACCCUUAGCGACAAGUCUAGCUUUAUAGAUGGUAACAUUUCCAUCCGCGUCCGUCUUCUUCUUAAAGAUCCAUUUAUUUUCUAUCGCUCGCCGAUCAUCGGGCAAGUCUGUUAAAGUCCAUACUUUGUUUUCAUACAUGGAUCCUAUCUCGGAUUGCAUGGCUUCAAGCCAUUUGUUGGAAUCUGGGCUCGCCAUUGCUUCUUCAUAGUCUGAAGGUUCACCGUUGUCCAACAACAUGAUUUCCAGGACAGGGUUGCCGUACCACUCUGGUGCGGAACGUGUCCUUGUGGACCUACGAAGUUCAGUGGUAACUUGAUCAUGAUCGUCAUCAUUAACUUCCUCUCUAGUCGGUGCAGGCACCACAGAAACAUUUUCUUGUGCUGCGCUACUUUCUGGUUCGAGAGGGGUCAUCUCAUCAAGUUCCACUUUCCUCCCACUUACUUCUUUCGAGAGAAACUCUUUCUCCAGAAAGGACCCAUUCUUGGCAACGAAGAUCUUGCCUUCGGAUCUGAGGUAGAAGGUAUACCCAAUGGUUUCCUUAGGGUAUCCUAUUGUAACGCCCACGAUGCGGCUAUAUCUCCCACGUGUCGAGGCACGACUCAGAGGCAUAACCGCAUUGUAGGUAUUGUCGCAAGAAGGGUCAUCUUCACACAAUCCCAUGUAAUGAACAAGAAUGGGAUAACGAGAGUUGGCUUACAAUCGCCACUUCACACAACACAUAAAUAAAUUCAUACAUCAUCCAAAAUCCACACAUAGACCGACUACGGUCAAAUCCAAAAGAAAAUAAGAUAACCCCAAAUGCUAGAUCCCCGAUCGUCCCAACUGGGCUCCACUACUGAUCAUCAGGAAACGAAACAUAGUAACGACCACGUUCCUCGUCGAACUCCCACUUGAGCUCGGUUGCGUCAUCUGCACUGGUAUCAUCAGCACCUGCAACUGUUUUGGUAGAAUCUGUGAGUCACCUGCAACUGUUUUGGUAGAAUCUGUGAGUCAUGACUCACAGAUUCUACCAAAACAGUUGCAGGUGCCGAUGAUACCAGUGCAGAUGACGCAACCAAUCACAGAUUCUACCAAAACAGUUGCAGGUGCCGAUGAUAUCAGUGCAGAUGACACAACCGAGCUCAANNNNNNNNNNNNNNNNNNNNNNNNNNNNNNNNNNNNNNNNNNNNNNNNNNNNNNNNNNNNNNNNNNNNNNNNNNNNNNNNNNNNNNNNNNNNNNNNNNNNNNNNNNNNNNNNNNNNNNNNNNNNNNNNNNNNNNNNNNNNNNNNNNNNNNNNNNNNNNNNNNNNNNNNNNNNNNNNNNNNNNNNNNNNNNNNNNNNNNNNNNNNNNNNNNNNNNNNNNNNNNNNNNNNNNNNNNNNNNNNNNNNNNNNNNNNNNNNNNNNNNNNNNNNNNNNNNNNNNNNNNNNNNNNNNNNNNNNNNNNNNNNNNNNNNNNNNNNNNNNNNNNNNNNNNNNNNNNNNNNNNNNNNNNNNNNNNNNNNNNNNNNNNNNNNNNNNNNNNNNNNNNNNNNNNNNNNNNNNNNNNNNNNNNNNNNNNNNNNNNNNNNNNNNNNNNNNNNNNNNNNNNNNNNNNNNNNNNNNNNNNNNNNNNNNNNAGUUGGGACGAUCGGGGAUCUAGCAUUUGGGGUUAUCUUAUUUUCUUUUGGAUUUGACCGUGACUCACAGAUUCUACCAAAACAGUUGCAGGUGCCGAUGAUACCAGUGUAGAUGACGCAACCGAGCUCAAGUGGGAGUUCGACGAGGAACGUGGUCGUUACUAUGUUUCGUUUCCUGAUGAUCAGUAGUGGAGCCCAGUUGGGACGAUCGGGGAUCUAGCAUUUGGGGUUAUCUUAUUUUCUUUUGGAUUUGACCGUAGUCAGUCUAUGUGUGGAUUUUGGAUGAUGUAUGAAUUUAUUUAUGUAUUGUGUGAAGUGGCGAUUGUAAGCCAACUCUCGUUAUCCCAUUCUUGUUCAUUACAUGGGAUAGUGUGAAGAUGACCCUUCUUGCGACAAUACCUACAAUGCGGUUAUGCCUCUAAGUCGUGCCUCGACACGUGGGAGAUAUAGCCGCAUCAUGGGCGUUACACCUAUGAAGACGCAUUUUUCCGACUUGGGUUCGAGCUUUUCAGGUUGAAGUUUCUUGACAUAAGCAUCGCAUCCCCAAACUUUAAGAAACGACAGCUUAGGUUUCUUUCCAAACCAUAAUUCAUACGGUGUCGUCUCAACGGAUUUCGACGGAGCCCUAUUUAAAGUGAAUGCGGCAGUCUCUAAAGCAUAACCCCAGAAUGAUAGCGGUAGAUCGGUAAGAGACAUCAUAGAUCGCACCAUAUCCAAUAGAGUGCGAUUACGACGUCCGGACACACCAUUACGCUGAGGUGUUCCAGGCGGCGUGAGUUGUGAAACAAUUCCACAUUUCCUUAAGUGUGUGCCAAAUUCGUGACUCAAAUAUUCCCCUCCACGAUCUGAUCGUAAGAACUUUAUUUUCCUGUCACGUUGAUUCUCAACCUCACUCUAAAAUUCCUUGAACUUUUCAAAGGUCUCAGACUUUUGUUUCAUUAAGUAGACAUACCCAUAUCUACUCAAGUCAUCAGUGAGGGUGAGAACAUAACGAUAGCCACCGCGAGCCUCAACGCUCAUUGGACCGCACACAUCAGUAUGUAUGAUUUCCAAUAAGUUGGUUGCUCGCUCCAUUGUUCCGGAGAACGGAGUCUUGGUCAUUUUUUCCCAUGAGGCAUGGUUCGCACGUGUCAAAUGAUUCAUAAUCAAGAGACUCCAAAAGUCCAACUGCAUGGAGUUUCUUCAUGCGUUUGACACCAAUGUGACCAAGGCGGCAGUGCCACAAGUAUGUGGGACUAUCAUUAUCAACCUUACAUUUCUUGGCAUUCACACUAUGAAUAUGUGUAACAUUACGUUCGAGAUUCAUUAAGAAUAAACCAUUGACCAGCGGGGCAUGACCAUAAAACAUAUCUCUCAUAUAAAUAGAACAACCAUUAUUCUCUGAUUUAAAUGAGUAGCCAUCUCGCAUCAAACGAGAUCCAGAUACAAUGUUCAUGCUCAAAGCUGGCACUAAAUAACAAUUAUUGAGGUUUAAAACUAAUCCCGUAGGUAAAUGUAGAGGUAGCGUGCCGACGGCGAUCACAUCGACCUUGGAACCAUUCCCGACCUGCAUCGUCACCUCGUCCUUCGCCAGUCUCCGCUUAUUCCGCAGCUCCUGCUUUGAGUUACAAAUAUGAGCAACCGCACCGGUAUCAAAUACCCAGGAGCUACUACGAGCGCUGGUUAGGUACACAUCAAUAACAUGUAUAUCACAUAUACCUUUGGUAUUGCCGGCCUUCUUAUCCGCUAAGUACUUGGGGCAGUUCCACUUCCAGUGACCGUUUCCCUUGCAAUAAAAGCACUCAGUCUUAGGCUUGGGUCCAUUCUUUGUCUUCUUCCCGGCAGCUUGCUUACCGGGCGCGGCAACUCCCUUGCCGUCUUUCUUGAAGUUCUUCUUACCCUUGUCUUUCUUGAACUUAGUGGUUUUAUUCACCAUCAACACUUGAUGUUCCUUUUUGAUCUCCACCUCCGCUGAUUUCAGCAUUGAAUAUACCUCAGGAAUGGUCUUUUCCAUCCCCUGCAUAUUGAAAUUCAUCACAAAGCUCUUGUAGCUAGGUGGAAGCGACUGAAGGAUUCUGUCAAUGACCGCGUCAUCCGGGAGAUUAACUCCCAGCUAAGACAAGCGGUUGUGCAACCCAGACAUUUUGAGUAUGUGUUCGCUGACGGAACUAUUCUCCUCCAUCUUACAACUAUAGAACUUGUCGGAUACUUCAUAUCUCUCGACCCGGGCAUGAGCUUGGAAAACCAUUUUCAGCUCUUGGAACAUCUCAUAUGCUCCGUGCUGCUCGAAACGCUUUUGGAGCCCCGGUUCUAAGCUGUAAAGCAUGCCGCACUGAACCAGGGAGUAAUCAUCAACACGUGUUUGCCAGGCGUUCAUAACGUCUUGGUUUGCUGGGACGGGUGCUUCACCUAGCAGUGCUUCAAGGACAUAUGCUUUCUUGGCAGCUAUGAGGAUGAUCCUCAAGUUCCGGACCCAGUCCGUAUAGUUGCUACCAUCGUCUUUCAGCUUGGUUUUCUCUAGGAACACGUUGAAGUUGAGGUUGACAUUAACGUGGGCCAUUUGAUCUACAAUACAUAUUGUAAAGAUUUUAGACUAAGUUCAUGAUAAUUAAGUUCAUCUAAUCAAAUUAUUAAUGAACUCCCACUCAGACAGACAUCCCUCUAGUCAUCUAAGUGAUACAUGAUCCGAGUCAACUAGGCCGUGUCCGAUCAUCACGUGAGACGGACUAGUCAUCAUCGGUGAACAUCUUCAUGUUGAUCGUAUCAGCUAUACGACUCAUGUUCGACCUUUCGGUCUCUUGUGUUCCGAGGCCAUGUCUGUACAUGCUAGGCUUGUCAAGUCAACCUAAGUGUAUUGCGUGUGUAAAUCUGGCUUACACCCGUUGUAUGCGAACGUUAGAACCUAUCACACCCGAUCAUCACGUGGUGCUUCGGAACAACGAACCUUCGCAACGGUGCACAGUUAGGGGGAACACUUCCUUGAAAUUUUAGCGAGGGAUCAUCUUAUUUAUGCUACCGUCGUUCUAAGCAAAUAAGAUGUAAAACAUGAUAAACAUCACAUGCAAUCAAAUAGUGACAUGAUAUGGCCAAUAUCAUUUUGCUCCUUUUGAUCUCCAUCUUCGGGGCGCCAUGUUCAUCAUUGUCACCGGCAUGACACCAUGAUCUCCAUCAUCGUGUCUUCGUGAAGUUGUCUCGCCAACUAUUACUUCUACUACUAUGGCUAACGGUUAGCAAUAAAGUAAAGUAAUUACAUGACGUCUUAGUUGACACGCAGGUCAUAAAUAAAUUAAGACAACUCCUAUGGCUCUUGCCGGUUGUCAUACUCAUCGACAUGCAAGUUGUGAUUCCUAUUACAAGAACAUGAUCAAUCUCAUACAUCACAUAUAUCAUUCAUCACAUUCUUCUGGCCAUAUCACAUCACAUGACACAUGCCGCAAAAACAAGUUAGACGUCCUCUAAUUGUUGUUGCAAAUUUUUACGUGGCUGCUAUAGGUUUCUAGCAAGAACGUUUCUUACCUACGCCAAAGCCACAACGUGAUAUGCCAAUUUCUAUUUACCCUUCAUAAGGACCCUUUUCAUCGAAUCCGAUCCGACUAAAGUGGGAGAGACAGACACCCGCUAGCCACCUUAUGCAACUAGUGCAUGUCAGUCGGUGGAACCUGUCUCACGUAAGCGUACGUGUAAGGUCGGUCCGGGCCGCUUCAUCCCACGAUGCCGCCGAAUCAAGAUAAGACUAGUAACGGCAAGUAAAUUGACAAAAUCGACGCCCACAACAACUUGUGUUCUACUCGUGCAUAGAAACUACGCAUAGACCUAGCUCAUGAUGCCACUGUUGGGGAUCGUUGUAGAAAUUUAAAAUUUUCUAAGCAUCACCAAGAUCAAUCUAUGGAGUCAUCUAGCAACAAGAGAGAGAGGAGUGUUGGGAUCGAUGCAGAAAUUUAAAAUUUUCUACGCAUCACCAAGAUCAAUCUAUGGAGUAAUCUAGCACCGAGGGGAAGGGGAGUGCAUCUACAUACCAUUGUAGAUCGCUUUACUCGUUCCGUAACACAUCAUCCCGUGAUCAACUCCUUGGUCACAUUGUGCACAUUAUGAUGAUGUCCUACCGAGUGGGCCCAGAGAUACCUCUCCGUUUACACGGAGUGACAAAUCCCAGUCUCGAUUCGUGCCAACCCAACAGACACUUUUGGAGAUACCUGUAGUGCACCUUUAUAGCCACCCAGUUACGUUGUGACGUUUGGUACACCCAAAGCAUUCCUACGGUAUCCGGGAGUUGCACAAUCUCAUGGUCUAAGGAAAUGAUACUUGACAUUAGAAAAGCUUUAGCAAACGAACUACACGAUCUUGUGCCAGGCUUAGGAUUGGGUCUUGUCCAUCACAUCAUUCUCCUAAUGAUGUGAUCCCGUUAUCAACGACAUCCAAUGUCCAUGGUCAGGAAACCGUAACCAUCUAUUGAUCAACGAGCUAGUCAACUAGAGGCUUACUAGGGACAUGGUGUUGUCUAUGUAUCCACACAGGUAUCUGAGUUUCCUAUCAAUACAAUUCUAGCAUGGAUAAUAAACGAUUAUCAUGAACAAGGAAAUAUAAUAAUAACCAAUUUAUUAUUGCCUCUAGGGCAUAUUUCUAACAGUCUCCCACUUGUACUAGAGUCAAUAAUCUAGUUCACAUCGCCAUGUGAUUAACACUCACAGGUCACAUCACCAUGUGACUAACAUCCAAAGAGUUUACUAGAGUCAAUAAUCUAGUUCACAUCACUAUGUGAUUAACACUCAAUGAGUUCUGGGUUUGAUCAUGUUAUGCUUGUGAGAGAGGUUAUAGUCAACGGGUCUGCAACAAUCAGAUCCGCAUGUACUUCGCAAAACUUUAUGUCAUAUCAUAGAUGCUGCUACCACGUUCCACUUGGAGCUAUUCCAAAUGGUUGCUCCAUUAUACAUAUCCGGUUUUUCUACUCAUAGUCAUCCGGAUAGGUGUUAAAGCUUGCAUCGACGUAACUCUUAACGUCGAACUCUUUAUCACCUCCAUAACCGAGAAAUAUUUCCUUAUUCCUCUAAGGACAAUUUUGACAACUGUCCAGUGAUCCACUCCUGGAUCACCUUUGUACCCUCUUGCCAGACAUGUGGCAAGGCACAAAUCAGGUGCGGUACUCAGCAUGGCAUACCGUAUAGAGCCUAUGACAAAAGCAUAGGGGACGACCUUCGUCCUUCCUCUUUCUUCUGCCGUGAUCAAGCUUUGAGUCUUACUCAACUUCACACCUUACAACUCAGGUAAGAACUCCUUCUUUGACUGGUCUAUUUUGAACUCCUUCAAAAUCAUGUCAAAGGUGUGUGUUCUUUUGAAAGUAUCAUCGGGCGUCUUGAUCUAUCUCUAUAGAUCUUGAUGCCCAAUAUGUAAGCAGCUUUAUCCAGGUCUUCCUUUGAAAAUCACUUUUCAAACACCCGUUUAUGCUUUCCAGAAAUUCUACAUCAUUUCGGAUCAACAAUAUGUCAUCCACAUAUACUUAUCAGAAAUGUUGUAGUGCUCCCACUCACUUUCUUGUAAAUACAAGUUUCUAGCAAACAUUGUAUAAACCUAAAAACUUUGAUCAAUGCAUAUAUUCCGACUCCGAGAUGCUUGCUCUAAUCCAUAGAAGGAUCGCUGGAGCCAGCAUACCUUUUAGCAUCCUUAGGAUCGACAAAACCUUUGAUUGUAUCACAUACAACCUUUUCUUACGAAAACUGGUAAGAAAACUUGUUUUGACAUCCAUCUGUCAGAUUUCAUAAUCGAAAAAUACAGCUAAUGCUAACAUGAAUCCGACGGACUUAAGCAUCGCUACGGGUGAGAAAAUCUCAUCGUAGUCAACUCCUUGAACUUGUGAAAAACUCUUUGCCACAAGUCGAGCUUCUGUCACACCCCUAGCUUCUCGUAUUGCACUAGGCUAACUUCAUGUGUGCAUCAUGUUUAAACUUUGAAAGAAACUUGAAAUGGGGAUUGCCUAAACCCUAGCAUUAAAGGAAUUCACUAGGUUCAACCAAAAUAUUUCUAGUAAAUCCAAAUGGCUUUCAAAAAUGUUCAUCAUUCUUGGAAAAUGCUGGAAAUAGUAACCAGAGGUGAUGCACAUUUUUCCAUGACAUAUUUGGGCUCUGGAUUAAAUCAUACUCUAUUUGCAUUUGGGCAUUUAAAUGCUAUUAAAUAUUUUAAAUGCUCAAAUAAUCAUAAACUAAAAUGUUUACUGUAGGAUAUAUUCCCAACAGUGAUCAUGAGUAGUUUCAUGAGUUUAGGAAGUGUCUAAGUAUUUUUAAUAAAGCCCUAAAGUCUACAGAAUAUUAGAAAACAGAAACAAAUAAAAAAGGAGAGAAAGGAUACCUACCUGGCCUCACCUGUCGCAGCCCACCUGGCCAGCCCACCUGGCCGGCCCAGCCCAGCGCCGUGCCAGUCAUCCCCCACCUCUGCCAGUAGGCAGAGGAGGGACACCGCGACGCCGCCGCGCGCGCCACGGCGUCUCCUGCUUGCCGCCCGCGCCUCUGGAGGAUCUGGACGACGCCCACGUCGCCCGCUCGACCGCCCCGAUACCUCAUUCCCCCCUGGUUCUCUCUCUCGCCCUCUCCUCGCCAUGGCCGAAGCAGCCGUCGCCGUCCCGCCGACGUAGUCGCGCCCACCGUGCUCCCCUUGCCUCUCCGACGCGCUCCCAAGCUCCGCCUCAUCGCCAUCGCCAUCUCCGUCGACGCACGCGACGCCGAACGCCCCAAGCGACGACCCGAGCUCUUCUCCAACCUCCGGCCGCCGGAGAUCGCCUCCGCCGCACCGCCCGCUCCGGACCGUCUCCGAGCUCGCCGACCUGCUCGUCCGACUCGCCGUGAGCCACUGACCCGAACCCCCCUCCUCUGCUCUCCAUUUGCACGCUGUAGCCGUCGCUCCGCCGGAGACCGAACCCCGCCGUCGCCCGCGCUCGUCGCCGGUGCUGCUCCGGUGACCAUUUGGCCCCGGGCAUGCGUCCAUCGUACUCACCGCACCACGUAGACGCCGUAGGUGCUAAACGCACAUCGCCACGGCCACCGCAACCGCGUCCCCGCUCUCUGCCGACUCCGGCCGCCGCAAAGCUCGUCGCCGUCGCCACUCCGGCCACACCCCGGCCGCGCCACCCCCACGGUUGGAUGCGGACGAGCGUCCGCAUCCCGUAGCUGUGCUCCGCGCGCCAAACGGCGCCCCAUAGGGCAAACCCGUGGCUCGCCGCCGCGUCUGGCCUCGCCGGCGUCGAGUCGCCGGCAGGUUUGACCGAGUUGACCAGGGUUUGACCCCCUAGGUCAUUAACAUGUGGGCCCGAGGCCCUGCUAAUUUAGUUUAGAUGCUAAUUAAAUUUUAGCUAACCCACUGACUCGCUGACUGUGGGCCCCAGCCCUUCUAAUUACUUUAGUUAGGAUUUAACGAAACCCUGGUUAGCACUGAGUCAAUGACAGGUGGGCCACACCUGUCAGGUUUGACCUGGACGGUCCUGUUGACCAGCUGACGCCAGCAUGACUUAAUGCUGACGCAUUAAUUUAAUUACUGGAAUUAUUUUUAUACAGGAAAUUCCAGAAAAUACCCUAAACUUCUAAAAAUCAUAGAAAAUAAUCUAUAGCUCAGAAUGAAAAGAUUUAUAUAUGAAAAAUGAUCAGAAAAAUCCAAUCUAUCCAUCUGUACUGGUUUCAUGCAUGUUAGAGCAACCUAACCAUGCUGUUUAGAUGAAACAAGAUAAUGCACUUAUAUGACUCUAUAAAAUGGGUUUGCAUUUGAAUCUUUGGUUCAAAUGGACUCAUCUCAAUCUGUUCUAGCUUGCAUUAGCCCAUAACACAUUCAUAUUGCCAUGUCAUGAUCAUGCAUCAUAUUGUGCAUUGCAUUGAUUGUAUUUCUUCUCUGUUGCCGGUAUUUGUCCCCUCUCGGUAGACGAUGUUCCGGCAUUGUGAUCGUUGACACUAAUGAAGACUCAAUGCUAUCUUCAGAAGUUCCAGGCAAGCAAAACCUCCUUGUUCAUUCCGAUACAAUCCCACUCUCUCGCUCCUGCUCUCUUUUACUGCAUUAGGACAACAACGAUUCAUCUGUUACUUGCUGCGGUAGCUGAACCCCUUUAUCCUCUGCAUGACCUGUCAUUGCCACAAUAAAUAGAUGAAACCCACUAGCAUGAGUAGGAGUUGUUUGAGCCCUGAUGUGCCUACUCAUUCAUGCUUGUUGUCGUGCUUGCUAUUGCUUAGAGUUGUGUCAGGUCUGAUUCAUCGGGGAUGAAUUGGAAAGUGGUGAACAUGUCCUACUGUGUGAGAGCUAAGUGUGUGAACACGAUUUGGUAAAGGUAGAAGUGAGAGGCCAUGUAGGAGUACAUGGUGGGUUGUCUCAUUGGAACCGUCCUCAGGAACUGAGUUCUGUGUUUGUGAUCCAUGAACAGUUACUACCACACAUUGGGUUCCGGUAACUCGACCCCUCUCGACUUAUUAAUCAACUUGAUCUCUGUCCAGGAGUUGCAACUAGUUUCUGGUGUUUGUAGGUAGUGUUAGUAGUCUACCAAGUGGCACCCGGUACAGGUGGGAUUGGGACAGACUAGGCACACGUGGCCUGGUGUACCGAGUGGCACCCGGAUGGUGGGCUCGGGAACCCUGCACACAUCGUUUGGGGCUGUGAGCGACACCCCGGCCGGAUCUCCUUGCGGAUGGAACCCGAAUAGGCGAUAAACCUGGACGAGAGACUUGUGUGGUUAGUCAGGUCGUGGCCGACUCCCUCGCCAGGCUUCCGCUUGAAGGUUGCCGAGGUACACGACGUGUACAUGGUGGUAAGUGGCGAGAGCGUGUGUGAAGAAGUACACCCCUGCAGGGUUAAUAUGAUCUAUUCGAAUAGCCGUGUCCGCGGUAAAGGACUUCUGGGUCGCCUGUACAGUUCAUAGACAAGUGAAAGUGGAUACUCUAAAAUGCGCAAGAUAAGCGUGAGUGCUAUGGAUGGCGUUCUCAUAGGGAGACGGGAGCGGAUCCAUAGUGGUGUAUUGGUAUGGUGAAUUUGUGGACUCGUGUGCGCCACCUCAAAAGAGUUACUUGCAGUUGUAGUUCAGGAUAGCCACCGAGUCAAAGCUGGCUUGCUGCAGUUAAACUCCACCACCCCUUUUGUUGAUACCGAUGCAUAUGUAGAUAGUCCUGAUGUAAGUCUUGCUGGGUACAUUUGUACUCACGUUUGCUUAUUUUAUGUUUUGCAGAGAGACGUCAGUCUCGCUAGUAGUUCCGUGUGGACUUCGUCGUUUAGCUUGAUACCUCAGCUACGAUCUUGUGCCCUCGGCAGGAUCUAGUAGAUAGUCAGGCUUCUCAGCCUUUUUCAUUUAUAGUUGUCUGUACUCAGACAUGUUAAGCUUCCGCAUGUGCUUUGGCUUGUAUGCUCUGAAUGUUGGGUCAUGAGACCCAUGUUUGUAAUAUCUCGCUCUUCGGAGCCUAAUGAAUAAAUACUCUGAGUCGUAGAGUCUUGUUGUGAUGCCAUGUUGUAUUUGCGCAUAUCGAGCAUAUUGUGUGUAUGAUUGAAAUGCUUGGUAUGUGUGGGAUCCGACAACCUAGUUGUUUAUCCUUGGUAGCCUCUCUUAUGGGGAAAUGUAGUCUUGUGCUUCCAUGAGCCAUAGUAGUCCGCUACAGCCCGGUUCACCGGAGUCCUGCUAGCCCAGCACUACUGCUUCGGAACACUUGACUGGCCGGCAUGUGAUUCACUUCGUUCAUGUGUCUGUCCCUUCGGGGAAAUGUCACGCGGUGACAUCCGGAGUCCUGUCUAGCCUGCUACAACCCGGUUCACCGGAGUCCUGUUAGCCCAGUGCUACAGCCCGGAUUCGCACGCUGCUGACCGACAUGCUCGAUGUUGAUUCAUGUAUGCCUGUCCCCGUAAGUUAGUGCCACUUUGGGUUCACGACUAGUCAUGUCGGCCCGGGUUCUCUGUCAUAUGGAUGCUAGCGACACUAUCAUAUACGUGAGCUAAAAGUCACAAACGGUCCCGGGCCAUGGUAAGGCGACACCCGUGGGAGUACCGUGCGUGAGGCCGCAAAGUGAUAUGAGGUGUUACCGGCUAGAUCGAUGUGACUUGGAAUCGGGGUCCCGACAGCUUUGGUAUCAGAGCCUGACUGCCUGUAGGAUUACCAAGCCAAACUGGUCGAAGUUGAGUCCAGAAAUGCUUUAGUGAUAUAAGGGAAUUGAUUGUGGAAGGGAACGUAAGGCUCUUUUACUCCUUUACCUUAUAGCCUUCUGAUCUGAGUCAUCCUCUUCUCUUAUACGGGGAUUAAGAACUAGGCUUCUCAUCUUUCUAUCAGGAUCACGUGUUACUAAUCCGUAGACUCGUAGGAUUGUUGGUCUGAAGCCUCAGUUCAGUUUCUACUACUUCCAUGUGUUGAUAGUUCAUCCCAGAACCUUGAUAUGAUGUUGUUAAGUGACUAUGCAAAUCCUUGUAAAUGUCUCAAAUCCUUUCUGAGCAUUUACAGCCGUUAUGCUGUCCGAGUCAUCCCAGGUUUCUAAACAAUCUGAUGCAUUUGCAAAAUCCUUUCCCUCUAUUUUUGCGUCCCUUUGGGCCAGAUUAAGCACACUACCGGUGCGUUGAGGCACUCUUUUGCCUCGGUAUAUAUGUUGGAGCUAUUAUUAUGACCCUAGGUGUUUUAGGGAGUCACCUAGUAAUGUAGCCAUGUUUUGUGUUCCCGGUGUGAUGAUUCUGGCCACCAUUCUCGAAAGAAUCUCGUGAUGCUAUUUAGUAGUAGGUAUUCUACUCUUGGGUUCUUGACCCAAGAUUCACUCUACUUACCUCAUGUUGAUAGUGUUGCUCGUACCUUUAGGAUAUUAGUAACCUUUGCAAUAGCCCUCGAGGUCCGUGGUAUACCAUUCUUCCAAAUACCAUGAACCAUCCUUGGCAGAAGCUCCUCGUUGAACCAAAAGAUCACAACAAGAGUGCUCUCGAUGAGUUCUCCAUUCUACAUUGUGAAUCUGCCAGUUCUACCUUUCUGCAUGGGUUAUCCGGAAGAAAUAUGUUGAACUUGUUCGACAUACUAACCUAUGCGCCCACAACUCAAAAAGUUAUAUGUUCCUUUGAGUUGUCCCUCUUCAGUCGUAUUCCGACCUUCAUCUAUCAAUUGAUAGUCAAGGGUAUGUGUACGAUCGUGUUCAUCGAUGCCUAUUAUUCUUGUGGUCUGUCAAGCCAUUCUAUUCCGGAAUGACUAGGAGAAACAAACUCCGGUACCUCGUCCAUAUCUAGGAUUGGGUCAAAGAAAUUGUAUUCCGCAGACCAAAAUGUCAAUCCAGCUUUUGCUCUGCUCUACCUUGGAGCGUUACCAUCUUUAUGUCAAGAGUGUCAUGAGAAUUGCACCACCUCUUAUGAAUUCUUGACGCAGUGAUACUUCUCGCCAUCAUUAUUCAUUCCUCGGUCCCGUGUUGUCACAACCGGAAUACCGACAAGUGAACUGUGAUGUGUGAAAUCAAUACUCUGAGCAACUCGUUGCUUGGUAGUUAAUGGCAAUACUCUCAUUCUUAGCGUGCUGGUUAUUGAAUCAUCAUCCUAAGAUUGAUCGUGCUACCUAGUCCUUAUUUUUGGUGCACUCUUCAAUCAGUGAGUUAGGAUUUUUGUCAAACCCUUGCUCAGUUGAUCAUAUCGUCUUGCCCUGAAAAGCAAGAUUGUUCUCGAGCUUAGUAACAUAUGGGUGGUACGUGAUUUUCCGAAUAUCUUCUCGGAAGUAUCACCAAGUCGUCACCUGACCGCUAUGUUGAGUUCGUGAUCAUGUUGGUAUUCUUGUAAACCACCCUUUCUCCAAGAAUCUGUGUUGGAUACCCCUGAGCUAGUUGGUUAAGCCAAACAACAACUUGGAGAGUUGGAAGAUAAAAUCUUGCCUGGCUUAGUUCAUUCUAAGGGAUAUCUUUUUGUGUGUGUGUUGAAGAAAGAUGAUAUCUUCAUUGAUUGAUCCUUGUGAUCAAUUGUUGGAUCUACUGUCUUGUCAAUACUUUGAUUUGAGUGUGGGCUAUCGUCAAAUCAAAUCAGAACCAACGAUGUUCAUAAUGUUGUCUUACUCGUGGUUGUUUCCUCGAGCAUACACCAUUAUAUUCUUUGGGUCUGACCAAUGCUAUCACUUGUUCACAUAAUUAUGGAAGUCCAUCUCCAUUGGAAUUUUGAUAAAUUGUUGCUGAGCCCAUCGGCAACAUUCUUAUCUUCUCCAUGACUCGUGUUGAACAUUAAGUUAGUGUUGGAAACUUGUGCUAGCAUUUUCUUCGUGCUAUCUCAUGAAGGAUAUGUUUGGAUGAAAGAAGUGACUUUCUUUAAUUCACGUGCACUUGAUGUAAGGUGUCGCCGUGGAUCCGAGAAAGAUUGUUUUUGUUUUCUCUGGAACCAUCCCAAGUUAGUCAUGCAUGUGCAAAGUAUGCUAUGGUUUGAUAGGCUCGCUACCUCCAUUCUAUAUGUGUUCCUAGCACACCAAGCCACUGAUUGAUUUGUUCAAGGAAAAGGAGCUUGUUGUGCUAAUUCUAGAUCAUGCACAAGACUCCAAUAUCCUCGAUGAUGGUUCCCCACCUGAACUCGGUAGUGUUUUAUCACAAGACUACUAUGUGGUCAUGCUUGUCCGGGAUAGCGUGUUCACAUAUGUUUAGCAGAACCAACUCAUGUUUUGGAGCUUGCUACCGUAGCUCAUUUCCCGAGAAUCUCGCAACGUCAUCUCGUCGAUUUGUGUUGCAAACCUUCAUUUUCUUCUAGACUCGAUGAGUCUGGAAUAUCCUGUUACCAACCAUAUUUGAGUCUCGGGCAGAUAUGAUGGUUGGAACAUUUUCCAAGAAUUAUAAUAUUGGUCUCUGUGUAACCCGGUAAGUGGAUGUCCUAGCCAACACACCCAGCCGGAAGACCUAUUAUUGUAGUAUCCUGAUUGAUAAAGUUGGCCACCUCCCCAUAAGGAUUCCGUAGGAUUUACUUCCGUAGUUAUUCCUUAUGGAUUCUUGUGUUUCUGAAGUUCGACCUUUACUUGAUGGCCGUGUUGAUGUUUUAAGCAUUGACCGUGUUACGCUAGCACAUCAAGGAGAACAUUAGAAGCGGAGUGCUAAAUGUCUCUCGGUCGAUCAUCCAGAUUUUGCUCCCUUGGCUUCGCUAAGGUGAAAUCUGAGAAAGUGUUGUCCUCCUUUGCACCUGCAUCCUCCAUCACCGUUCAUCAUGGUAGUAUGUUGUGUUGCCAGGAUCCUCGACACGGAUAAUGGUAAAACCUUGAUGAAUAUGGAAAUGCUCAAGUUCUUGAGAGCACGCGCAAGCAAAAUCAUCCAUCGCGUUGUCUUCAACAAGGUAGUCCACAUCAUCCAUUCUAGUCCGAUUAUGUCAUUCUUUUGAACUCCUUCAAACGCUCGUUUGUGAAUUUCCUUAGGCUGGUAUAGGGAGUUCCAAUGAUCUCUGUAUCAAAAGUAAUUCUUUUUGCCACUUAAGGGAUAAUUCCACGAGUCACCCCCUCUAAGAUGUCUCGUUAUGGAAUCGUGGCAACUAUCUCCUCGCUACUUUGAAACCAUGCACCAUCCUACCCAAGCGUGGAGUUGUUGCCUACCAAAUUGAACCCUCGUCAUUGCUACCUUUCCUCGUUCCAGAUGUGUGUUUUGUGUGUCAGCUCAAGAGAUGUUUCAAUGUCUCACUCCAUGAGUUGAUCGUGAGUUGCCAACCUUUGUGAAGAUUGGAUCCUAUAGAGUUUCCCUCUCUUCCGUCGUCAUAGUUGGAUGAAGAUCUCGAAAGCAAAGACGACAAGAUCAAUUUGAAGAAAUGAGUCAACAUCUUCGAUGAGGGUAUUGGAUCGAGAAGAUUGUGUUGGCUUUUGUGUCCCCUUUUCCUCUUACCCUACGCUUGAAUCUCGGGACAAGAUUCUUGUUUAGUGGGGGCGAGUUGUCACAUCCCUAGCUUCUCGUAUUGCACUAGGCUAACUUCAUGUGUGCAUCAUGUUUAAACUUUGAAAGAAACUUGAAAUGGGGAUUUCCUAAACCCUAGCAUUAAAGGAAUUCACUAGGUUCAACCAAAAUAUUUCCAGUAAAUCCAAAUGGCUUUCAAAAAUGUUCAUCAUUCUUGGAAAAUGCUGGAAACAGUAACCAGAGGUGAUGCACAUUUUUCCAUGACAUAUUUGGGCUCUGGAUUAAAUCAUACUCUAUUUGCAUUUGGGCAUUUAAAUGCUAUUAAAUAUUUUAAAUGCUCAAAUAAUCAUAAACUAAAAUGUUUACUGUAGGAUAUAUUCCCAACAGUGAUCAUGAGUAGUUUCAUGAGUUUAGGAAGUGUCUAAGUAUUUUUAAUAAAGCCCUAAAGACUACAGAAUAUUAGAAAACAGAAACAAAUAAAAAGAAGGAGAGAAAGGAUACCUACCUGGCCUCACCUAGCGCAGCCCAGCUGGCCAGCCCAGCCCAGCGCCGUGCCAGUCAUCCCCCACCUCUGCCAGUAGGCAAAGGAGGGACACCGCGACGCCGCCGCGCGCGCCACGGCGUCUCCUGCUUGCCGCCACGGCGUCUCCAACCUCCGGCCGCCGGAGACCGAACCCCGCCGUCGCCCGCGCUCGUCGCCGGUGCUGCUCCGGUGACCAUUUGGCCCCGGGCAUGCGUCCAUCGUACUCACCGCACCACGUAGACGCCGUAGGUGCUAAACGCGCAUCGCCACGGCCACCGCAACCGCGUCCCCGCUCUCUGCCGACUCCGGCCGCCGCAAAGCUCGUCGCCGGCGCCACUCUGGCCACUCCCCGGCCGCGCCACCCCCACGGUUGGAUGCGGACGAGCGUCCGCAUCCCGUAGCUGUGCUCUGUGCGCCAAACGGCGCCCCGUAGGGCAAACCCGUGGUUCGCCGCCGCGUCUGGCCUCGCCGGCGUCGAGUCGCCGGCAGGUUUGACCGAGUUGACCAGGGUUUGACCCCCCUAGGUCAUUAACAUGUGGGCCCGAGGCCCUGCUAAUUUAGUUUAGAUGCUAAUUAAAAUUUAGCUAACCCACUGACUCGCUGACUGUGGGCCCCAGCCCUUCUAAUUACUUAGCACUGAGUCAAUAACAGGUGGGCCACACCUGUCAGGUUUGACCUGGACGGUCCUGUUGACCAGCUGACGCCAGCAUGACUUAAUGCUGACGCAUUAAUUUAAUUACUAGAAUUAUUUUUAUACAGGAAAUUCCAGAAAAUACCCUAAACUUCUAAAAAUCAUAGAAAAUAAUCUAUAGCUCAGAAUGAAAAGAUUUAUAUAUGAAAAAUGAUCAGAAAAAUCCAAUCUAUCCAUCUGUACUGGUUUCAUGCAUGUUAGAGCAACCUAACCAUGCUGUUUAGAUGAAACAAGAUAAUGCACUUAUAUGACUCUAUAAAAUGGGUUUGCAUUUGAAUCUUUGGUUCAAAUGGACUCAUCUCAAUCUGUUCUAGCUUGCAUUAGCCCAUAACACAUUCAUAUUGCCAUGUCAUGAUCAUGCAUCAUAUUGUGCAUUGCAUUGAUUGUAUUUCUUCUCUGUUGCCGGUAUUUGUCCCCUCUCGGUAGACGAUGUUCCGGCGUUGUGAUCGUUGACACUAAUGAAGACUCAAUGCUAUCUUCAGAAGUGCCAGGCAAGCAAAACCCCCUUGUUCAUUCUGAUACAAUCCCACUCUCUCGCUCCUGCUCUCUUUUACUGCAUUAGGACAACAACGAUUCAUCUGUUACUUGUUGCGGUAGCUGAACCCCUUUAUCCUCUGCAUGACCUGUCAUUGCCAUAUUAAAUAGAUGAAACCCACUAGCAUGAGUAGGAGUUGUUUGAGCCCUGAUGUGCCUACUCAUUCAUGCUUGUUGUCGUGCCUGCUAUUGCUUAGAGUUGUGUCAGGUCUGAUUCAUCGGGGAUGAAUUGGAAAGUGGUGAACAUGUCCUACUGUGUGAGAGCUAAGUGUGUGAACACGAUUUGGUAAAGGUAGCGGUGAGAGGCCAUGUAGGAGUACAUGGUGGGUUGUCUCAUUGGAACCGUCCUCAGGAACUGAGUUCUGUGUUUGUGAUCCAUGAACAGUUACUACCACACAUUGGGUUCCGGUAACUCGACCCCUCUCGACUUAUUAAUCAACUUGAUCUCUGUCCAGGAGUUGCAACUAGUUUCUGGUGUUUGUAGGUAGUGUUAGUAGUCUACCAAGUGGCACCCGGUACAGGUGGGCUUGGGACAGACUAGGCACACGUGGCCUGGUGUACCGAGUGGCACCCGGAUGGUGGGCUCGGGAACCCUGCACACAUCGUUUGGGGCCGUGAGCGACACCCCGGCCGGAUCUCCUUGCGGAUGGAACCCGAAUAGGCGAUAAACCUGGAUGAGAGACUUGUGUGGUUAGUCAGGUCGUGGCCGACUCCCUCGCCAGGCUUCCGCUUGAAGGUUGCCGAGGUACACGACGUGUACAUGGUGGUAAGUGGCGAGAGCGUGUGUGAAGAAGUACACCCCUGCAGGGUUAAUAUGAUCUAUUCGAAUAGCCGUGUCCGCGGUAAAGGACUUCUGGGUCGCCUGUACAGUUCAUAGACAAGUGAAAGUGGAUACUCUAAAAUGCGCAAGAUAAGCGUGAGUGCUAUGGAUGGCGUUCUCGUAGGGAGACGGGAGCGGAUCCAUAGUGGUGUAUUGGUAUGGUGAAUUUGUGGACUCGUGUGCGCCACCUCAAAAGAGUUACUUGCAGUUGUAAUUCAGGAUAGCCACCGAGUCAAAGCUGGCUUGCUGCAGUUAAACUCCACCACCCCUUUUGUUGAUACCAAUGCAUAUGUAGAUAGUCCUGAUGUAAGUCUUGCUGGGCACAUUUGUACUCACGUUUGCUUAUUUUAUGUUUUGCAGAGAGACGUCAAUCUCGCUAGUAGUUCCGUGUGGACUUCGACGUUUAGCUUGAUACCUCAGCUACGAUCUUGUGCCCUCGGCAGGAUCUAGUAGAUAGUCAGGCUUCUCAGCCUUUUUCAUUUAUAGUUGUCUGUACUCAGACAUGUUAAGCUUCCGCAUGUGCUUUGGCUUGUAUGCUCUGAAUGUUGGGUCAUGAGACCCAUGUUUGUAAUAUCUCGCUCUUCGGAGCCUAAUGAAUAAAUACUCUGAGUCAUAGAGUCUUGUUGUGAUGCCAUGUUGUAUUUGCACAUAUCGAGCAUAUUGUGUGUAUGAUUGAAAUGCUUAGUAUGUGUGGGAUCCGACAACCUAGUUGUUUAUCCUUGGUAGCCUCUCUUAUGGGGAAAUGUAGUCUUGUGCUUCCAUGAGCCAUAGUAGUCCGCUACAGCCCGGUUCACCGGAGUCCUGCUAGCCCAGCACUACUGCUCCGGAACACUUGACUGGCCGGCAUGUGAUUCACUUCGUUCCUGUGUCUGUCCCUUCGGGGAAAUGUCACGCGGUGACAUCCGGAGUCCUGCCUAGCCUGCUACAACCCGGUUCACCGGAGUCCUGUUAGCCCAGUGCUACAGCCCGGAUUCGCACGCUGCUGACCGACAUGCUCGAUGUUGAUUCAUGUAUGCCUGUCCCCGUAAGUUAGUGCCACUUUGGGUUCACGACUAGUCAUGUCGGCCCGGGUUCUCUGUCACAUGGAUUCUAGCGACACUAUCAUAUACGUGAGCUAAAAGACGCAAACGGUCCCGGGCCAUGGUAAGGCGACACCCGUGGGAAUACCGUGCGUGAGGCCGCAAAGUGAUAUGAGGUGUUACCGGCUAGAUCGAUGUGACUUGGAAUCGGGGUCCCGACAGCUUCAUAGACGGUAACAUCACCGUCCACGUCCGUCUUCUUCUUAAAGAUCCAUUUAUCUCAAUAGCUUGCCGAUCAUCGGGCAAGUCCACCAAAGUCCAUACUUUGUUCUGAUACAUGGAUCCUAUCUCGGAUUUCAUGGCUUCUAACCAUUUGUCGGAAUACGGGCCCACCAUCGCUUCUCCAUAGCUCGUAGGUUCAUUGUUGUCUAACAACAUGAUAUCUAAGACAGGAUUACCGUACCACUCAGGAGUAGUACAUAUCCUUGUCGACCUACGAGGUUCGAUAGCAACUUGAUCCGAAGCUUCAUGAUCACUAUCACUAACUUCCUCUUCAACAGGCGUAGGCGCCACAGAAACAUCUUUCUGUGUUGCACUACUUUCCGGUUGAAGUAGAGGUUCAACAACCUCAUCAAGUUCUAUCUUCCUCCCACUCAAUUCUUUCGAGAGAAACUCCUUCUCGAGAAAGGACCCGUUCUUGUGACAAACAAUUUGCCCUCGGAUCUAAGAUAGAAGGUAUACCCAACUGUCACCUUUGGGUAUCCUAUGAAGAUGUGUUUGUCCGCUUUGGGUUCGAGCUUCUCCGGCUGAAGCCUUAAGCAUUGCAGCCCCAAACAUUAAGAAACGACAACUUUGGUUUCUUGCCAAACCAAUGUUCAUAUGACGUCGUCUCAACGGACAUAGAUGGUGCCCUAUCUAAAGUGAAUGCAGCUGUCUCUAACGCAUAAUCUCAAAAUGAUAGCGGUAGAUCGCUAAGAGACAUCAUAGAUCGCACCAUAUCUCAUAAGGUUCGAUUACGACGUCCGGACACACCAUUUCGUUGUGGUGUUCCAGGUGGCUUCAACUGUGAAACAAUUCCACAAUGUCUUAAGUGAUUGCCAAACUCAUAACUCAGAAAUUCUCCCUCGAUCAGAUCGUAGGAAUUUGAUCUUCUUGUUAUGAUGGUUCUUAACUUCACUCUGAAAUUGCUUGAACUUUUCAAACGUUUCAGACUUGUGCUUCAUUAAGUAAAUAUACCCAUAUCUACUCAAAUCGUCAAUGAAGAUGAGAAAAUAACGAUAUCCACCACACGCCUUAAUUCUCAUUGGAUCACGCACAUCAGCAUGUAUGAUUUCCAACAAGUCACUUGCCCGUUUCAUUGUACCUGAAAACGGGAUCUUAGUCAUCCUGCCCAUGAGGCAUGGCUCGCAUGUGUCAAGCGAUUCAAAAUCAAGUGACUCCAAACAUCCAUCAGCAUGGAGUUUCUUCAUGCAUUUUAUGCCAAAAUGACCUAAGCGGCAAUGUCACAAGAAAGUGGUACUAUCAUUAUUAACUCUACAUCUUUUUGGCAUGAACAUGUGUAUUACCACGACCGAGAUUCAAUGAACCAUUCACAUAGGGUGCAUGACCAUGAAAGGUAUUAUUCAUGUAAACAGAAUAACCAUUAUUUUCUAACUUAAAUGAAUAAUCGUAUUGCAAUGAACAUGAUCUAAUCAUAUUCACGCUCAACGUAGACACCUGAUAACAUUUAUCUAGGUCCAAUACUAAUCCCGAAGGCAGAUGGAGCGUGCGAUGGUGAUCUCAUCAACUUUGGAAACACUUCCAACACACAUCGUCACCUCGCCCUUAGCCAGUCUCCGUUUAGUCCGUAGCUUUUGCUUCAAGUCACCAAUAAUAGCAACUGAACCGGUAUCUAAUACCCAGGUGCUACCGGGAGUACUAGUAAGGUACACAUUAAUAACACGUACAUACUUUGUUGAAGUUGACAGCCUUCUUAUCUACCAUGCAUUUGGGGUAGUUCCGCUACCAGUGACCGUUCCCCUUACAAUAGAAGCACUUAGUCUCGGGUUUGGGUUCAACCUUGGGUUCCUUCAUUGGAGCGGCAGCUGGUUUACCAUUCAUGAAGUUUCCCUUCCAGCCCUUGCCCUUCUUGAAACCAGUGGUCUUGUUAAACCAUCAACACUUGAUGCUCCUUCUUGAUUUCUACUUUUUGCGGUCUUAAGCACCGCGAACAGCUCCGGGAUCAUCUCCAUCCCUUGCAUGUCAUAGUUCAUCACGAAGAUCUAGUAGCUUAGUGAUAGUGACUAGAGAACUCUAUCAAUCACUAUAUUAUCUGGAAGUUUAACUCCCACUUGAUUCAAGUGAUUGUAGCACCCAGACAUUCUGAGCACAUGCUCACUAGCUGAGCUAUUCUCCUCCAUCUUGUAGGCAAGGAACUUGUCAGAGGUCUCAUACCUCUCAACACGGGCAUGAGCCUGAAAUCCCAAUUUCAGCUCUUGGAACAUCUCAUGUGUUCUAUGGCGUUCAAAACGUCAUUGGAAUCCCGAUUCUAAGCCGUAAAGUAUGGUGCACUUAACUAUCAAGUAGUCAUCAGGACGUAUCUGUUAGAUGUUCAUAACAUCCACAGACGACGCUGGAAGGGUUGGCACACCGAGCGGUGCAUCAAAGACAUAAGCCUUCUGUGUAGCAGUGAGGACACUCCUCAUGCAACGGACCUAGUCCGCGUCAAUGCUUACAAUAUCUUUCAACUUAAUCUUUCUCUAGGAACGUAUUGAAACAGGGAGCUACAACGCGAGCUAUUGAUCUACAACAUAUUUGCAAAGACAAUUUAGACUAUGUUCAUGAUAAUUAAGUUCAUCUAAUCAAAUUAUUUAAUGAACUCCCACUUAAAUAGACAUCCCUCUAGUCAUCUAAGUGAUACAUGAUCCGAAUCGACUAGGCCGUGUCCGAUCAUCACGUGAGACGGACUAGUCAUCAUCGGUGAACAUCUUCAUGUUGAUCGUAUCUUCUAUACGGCUCAUGUUUGACCUUUCGGUCUUCCGUGUUCCGAGGCCAUGUCUGUACAUGCUAGGCUCAUCAAGUCAACCUAAGUGUUUCGCAUGUGUUCCGAGGCCAUGUCUGUACAUGCUAGGCUCGUCAACACCCGUUGUAUUCGAACGUUAGAAUCUAUCACACCCGAUCAUCACGUGGUGCUUCGAAACAAUGAACCUUCGCAAUGGUGCACAGUUAGGGAGAACACUUUUCUUGAAAUUUUAGUGAGGGGUCAUCUUAUUUAAGCUACCGUCGUUCUAAGCAAAUAAGAUGUAAAACAUGAUAAACAUCACAUGCAAUCUAAUAGUGACAUGAUAUGGCCAAUAUCAUUUUGCUCCUUUUUGAUCUCCAUCUUCGGGGCGCCAUGAUCAUCGUCGUCACCGGCAUGACACCAUGAUCUCCAUCAUCAUGAUCUCCAUAAUCGUGUCUUCAUGAAGUUGUCUCGUCAUCUAUUACUUCUACUACUAUGGCUAACGGUUUAGCAAUAAAGUAAAGUAAUUACAUGACGUUUAUGUUGACACGCAUGUCAUAAAUAAAUUAAGACAACUCCUAUGGCUCCCGCCGGUUGUCAUACUCAUCGACAUGCAAGUCGUGAUUCCUAUUACAAGAACAUGAUCAAUCUCAUACAUCACAUAUAUCAUUCAUCACAUCCUUUUGGCCAUAUCACAUCACACGACAUAUGCUGCAAAAACAAGUUAGACGUCCUCUAAUUGUUGUUGCAAAUUUUUACGUGGCUGCUAUAGGUUUCUUAGCGAGAACGUUUCUUACCUACGCCAAAACCACAACGUGAUAUGCCAAUUUCUAUUUACCCUUCAUAAGGACCCUUUUCAUCGAAUCCGAUCCGACUAAAGUGGGAGAGACAGACACCCGCUAGCCACCUUAUGCAACUAGUGCAUGUCAGUCGGUGGAACCUGUCUCACGUAAGUGUACGUGUAAGGUCGGUCCGGGCCGCUUCAUCCCACGAUGCCGCCGAAUCAAGAUAAGACUAGUAACGGCAAGUAAAUUGACAAAAUCGAUGCCCACAACUACUUUGUGUUCUACUCGUGCAUAGAAAUUACGCAUAGACCUAGCUCAUGAUACCACUGUUGGGGAACGUAGCAGAAAUUUAAAAUUUUCUACGCAUCACCAAGAUCAAUCUAUGGAGUAAUCUAGCACCGAGGGGAAGGGGAGUGCAUCUACAUACCAUUGUAGAUCGCUAAGCGGAAGCGUUGCAAGAACGCGGAUGAAGGAGUCGUACUCGUAGCGAUUCAGAUCGCGGUUGAUUCCGAUCUAAGCGCCGAACCACGGCGCCUCCGCAUUCAACACACGUGCAGCCCGGUGACGUCUCCCACGCCUUGAUCCAGCAAGGGGAGAAGGAGAAGUUGGGGAAGACUCCGUCCAGCAGCAGCACGACGGCGUGGUGGUGGUGGAGGAGCGCGGAACUCCAGCAGGGCUUCGCCAAGCACUACGAGAGACGAGGAGGGAGAGAGGCAUGGCUGCGCCUGGGAGAGAAUAACUCGUGUAUUGGGCAGCCCCUAGACCUCAACUAUAUAUAGGGGGAGGGGAGGGGGCUACGCCCCCUCUAGGGUUCCCACCCCAAGGGGUGCGGCAGCCCCAGAUCCCAUCUAGGGUGGCGGCCAAAGGGGGGAGAGGGGGAGGCGCACCUGGGGUGGGCCUUAGGGCCCAUCUGCCCUAGGGUUUGCCCCCAUCUUCUCUUGAGGCGCCUUGGGCCUUGGUGGGGGGCGCACCAGCCCACCUAGGGGCUGGUCCCUUCCCACUAUUGGCCCACGCAAGCCUCUGGGGCUGGUGGCCCCUCCCGGUGGACCCCGGGACCUUUCCGGUGGUCCCGGUACAUUACCGGUGAUGCCCGAAACACUUCCGGUGGCCAAAUCCUCACUUCCUAUAUAUCAAUCUUUACCUCCGGACCAUUCCGGAACUCCUCGUGAUGUCCGGGAUCACAUCCGGGACUCUGAACAACAUUCGGUAACCGCGUACAUACUUUCCCUAUAACCCUAGCGUCAUCGAACCUUAAGUGUGUAAGCGACCCUACCCUUGUCUUUCUUGAACUUAGUGGUUUUAUUCACCAUCAACACUUGAUGUUCCUUUUUGAUCUCCACCUCCGCUGAUUUCAGCAUUGAAUAUACCUCAGGAAUGGUCUUUUCCAUCCCCUGCAUAUUGAAAUUCAUCACAAAGCUCUUGUAGCUAGGUGGAAGCGACUGAAGGAUUCUGUCAAUGAGCGCGUCAUCCGGGAGAUUAACUCCCAGCUAAGACAAGCGGUUGUGCAACCCAGACAUUUUGAGUAUAUGUUCGCUGACGGAACUAUUCUCCUCCAUCUUACAACUAUAGAACUUGUCGGAUACUUCAUAUCUCUCGACCCGGGCAUGAGCUUGGAAAACCAUUUUCAGCUCUUGGAACAUCUCAUAUGCUCCGUGCUGCUCGAAACGCUUUUGGAGCCCCGGUUCUAAGCUGUAAAGCAUGCCGCACUGAACCAGGGAGUAAUCAUCAACACGUGUUUGCCAGGCGUUCAUAACGUCUUGGUUUGCUGGGACGGGUGCUUCACCUAGCAGUGCUUCAAGGACAUAUGCUUUCUUGGCAGCUAUGAGGAUGAUCCUCAAGUUCCGGACCCAGUCCGUAUAGUUGCUACCAUCGUCUUUCAGCUUGGUUUUCUCUAGGAACACGUUGAAGUUGAGGUUGACAUUAACGUGGGCCAUUUGAUCUACAAUACAUAUUGUAAAGAUUUUAGACUAAGUUCAUGAUAAUUAAGUUCAUCUAAUCAAAUUAUUAAUGAACUCCCACUCAGACAGACAUCCCUCUAGUCAUCUAAGUGAUACAUGAUCCGAGUCAACUAGGCCGUGUCCGAUCAUCACGUGAGACGGACUAGUCAUCAUCGGUGAACAUCUUCAUGUUGAUCGUAUCUGCUAUACGACUCAUGUUCGACCUUUCGGUCUCUUGUGUUCCGAGGCCAUGUCUGUACAUGCUAGGCUCGUCAAGUCAACCUAAGUGUAUUGCGUGUGUAAAUCUGGCUUACACCCGUUGUAUGCGAACGUUAGAACCUAUCACACCCGAUCAUCACGUGGUGCUUCGGAACAACGAACCUUCGCAACGGUGCACAGUUAGGGGGAACACUUUCUUGAAAUUUUAGCGAGGGAUCAUCUUAUUUAUGCUACCGUCGUUCUAAGCAAAUAAGAUGUAAAACAUGAUAAACAUCACAUGCAAUCAAAUAGUGACAUGAUAUGGCCAAUAUCAUUUUGCUCCUUCUGAUCUCCAUCUUCGGGGCGCCAUGUUCAUCAUUGUCACCGGCAUGACACCAUGAUCUCCAUCAUCGUGUCUUCAUGAAGUUGUCUCGCCAACUAUUACUUCUACUACUAUGGCUAACGGUUAGCAAUAAAGUAAAGUAAUUACAUGACGUCUCAGUUGACACGCAGGUCAUAAAUAAAUUAAGACAACUCCUAUGGCUCUUGCCGGUUGUCAUACUCAUCGACAUGCAAGUUGUGAUUCCUAUUACAAGAACAUGAUCAAUCUCAUACAUCACAUAUAUCAUUCAUCACAUUCUUCUGGCCAUAUCACAUCACAUGACACAUGAUGCAAAAACAAGUUAGACGUCCUCUAAUUGUUGUUGCAAAUUUUUACGUGGCUGCUAUAGGUUUCUAGCAAGAACGUUUCUUACCUACGCCAAAGCCACAACGUGAUAUGCCAAUUUCUAUUUACCCUUCAUAAGGACCCUUUUCAUCGAAUCCGAUCCGACUAAAGUGGGAGAGACAGACACCCGCUAGCCACCUUAUGCAACUAGUGCAUGUCAGUCGGUGGAACCUGUCUCACGUAAGCGUACGUGUAAGGUCGGUCCGGGCUGCUUCAUCCCACGAUGCCGCCGAAUCAAGAUAAGACUAGUAACGGCAAGUAAAUUGACAAAAUCGACGCCCACAACAACUUGUGUUCUACUCGUGCAUAGAAACUACGCAUAGACCUAGCUCAUGAUGCCACUGUUGGGGAUCGUUGUAGAAAUUUAAAAUUUUCUAAGCAUCACCAAGAUCAAUCUAUAGAGUCAUCUAGCAACAAGAGAGAGAGGAGUGUUGGGAUCGAUGCAGAAAUUUAAAAUUUUCUACGCAUCACCAAGAUCAAUCUAUGGAGUAAUCUAGCACCGAGGGGAAGGGGAGUGCAUCUACAUACCAUUGUAGAUCGCUAAGCGGAAGCGUUGCAAGAACGCGGAUGAAGGAGUCGUACUCAUAGCGAUUCAGAUCGCGGUUGAUUCCGAUCUAAGCGCCGAACCACGGCGCCUCCGCAUUCAACACACGUGCAGCCCGGUGACGUCUCCCAUGCCUUGAUCCAGCAAGGGGAGAAGGAGAAGUUGGGGAAGACUCCGUCCAGCAGCAGCACGACGGCGUGGUGGUGGUGGAGGAGCGCGGAACUCCAGCAGGGCUUCGCCAAGCACUACGAGAGACGAGGAGGGAGAGAGGUAUGGCUGCGCCUGGGAGAGAAUAACUCGUGUAUUGGGCAGCCCCUAGACCUCAACUAUCUAUAGGGGGAGGGGAGGGGGCUGCGCCCCCUCUAGGGUUCCCACCCCAAGGGGUGCGGCAGCCCCAGAUCCCAUCUAGGGUGGCGGCCAAAGGGGGGAGAGGGGGAGGCGCACCUGGGGUGGGCCUUAGGGCCCAUCUGCCCUAGGGUUUGCCCCCAUCUUUUCUUGAGGCGCCUUGGGCCUUGGUGGGGGGCGCACCAGCCCACCUAGGGGCUGGUCCCUUCCCACUAUUGGCCCACGCAAGCCUCUGGGGCUAGUGGCCCCUCCCGGUGGACCCCCGGACCCUUCCGGUGGUCCCGGUACAUUAUCGGUGAUGCCCGGAACACUUCCGGUGGCCAAAUCCUCACUUCUUAUAUAUCAAUCUUUACCUCCGGACCAUUCCGGAACUCCUCGUGACGUCCGGGAUCUCAUCCGGGACUCCGAACAAAAUUCGGUAACCGCAUACAUACUUUCCCUAUAACCCUAGCGUCAUCGAACCUUAAGUGUGUAGACCCUACGGGCUCGGGAACCAUGCAGUCAUGACCGAGACAUAUCUCCGGCCAAUAACCAACAGCGGGAUCUGGAUACCCAUGUUGUCUCCCACAUGUUCCACGAUGAUCUCAUCGGAUGAACCACGAUGUCAAGGAUUCAAUCAAUCCCGUAUACAAUUCCCUUUGUCUACCGGUAUAGUACUUGCCCGAGAUUCGAUCGUCGGUAUCCCGAUACCUUGUUCAAUCUCGUUACCGGAAAAUCUCUUUACUCGUUCCGUAACACAUCAUCUCGUGAUCAACUCCUUGGUCACAUUGUGCACAUUAUGAUGAUGUCCUACCGAGUGGGCCCAGAGAUACCUCUCCGUUUACACGGAGUGACAAAUCCCAGUCUCGAUUCGUGCCAACCCAACAGACACUUUCGGAGAUACCUGUAGUGCACCUUUAUAGCCACCCAGUUACGUUGUGACGUUUGGUACACCCAAAGCAUUCCUACGGUAUCCGAGAGUUGCACAAUCUCAUGGUCUAAGGAAAUGAUACUUGACAUUAGAAAAGCUUUAGCAGACGAACUACACGAUCUUGUGCUAGGCUUAGGAUUGGGUCUUGUCCAUCACAUCAUUCUCCUAAUGAUGUGAUCCCGUUAUCAACGACAUCCAAUGUCCAUGGUCAGGAAACCGUAACCAUCUAUUGAUCAACGAUCUAGUCAACUAGAGGCUUACUAGGGACAUGGUGUUGUCUAUGUAUCCACACAUGUAUCUGAGUUUCCUAUCAAUACAAUUCUAGCAUGGAUAAUAAACAAUUAUCAUGAACAAGGAAAUAUAAUAAUAACCAAUUUAUUAUUGUCUCUAGGGCAUAUUUCUAACAAGGAGUGCAUCUACAUACCCUUGUAGAUCGCGAGCGGAAGCGUUAAAGAGAACGGGGUUGAUGGAGUCGUACUCGUCGUGAUCCAAAUCACCGAUGAUCCUAGCGCCGAACGGACGGCACCUCCGCGUUCAACACACGUACGGAGCAGAGAUGUCUCCUCCUUCUUGAUCCAGCAAGGGGGAAGGAGAAGUUGAUGGAGAUCCAGCAGCACGACGGCGUGGUGGUGGAUGCAGCGGGAUUCCAGCAGGGCUUCGCCAAGCGCUAUUGGAGGAGGAAGAGGUGUCACGGGAGGGAGAGGGAGGCGCCAGGGCUUAGGGUGCGGCUGCUCUCCCUCCCCUCCACUAUAUAUAGGGGCUAGGGGGGGCGCAUGCCCCCUUUGGAGAUCCCAUCUAGAGGGGGGCGGCGGCCACUCGGGGGGCAACGCCCCCCUUAGGGUUUCCAACCAGGGGGCGCAUGCCCCCUCGGGGGGGCAACGGCCCCCUAGGGUUUCCAACCCUAGGCGCCUUGGGCCCUUGGGUGGGGCGCACCAGCCCACCAGGGGCUGGUUCCCACGCCACUUCAGCCCAUGGGGCCCUCCGGGAUAGGUGGCCCCACCCCGUGGACCCCCGGGACCCUUCCGGUGGUCCCGGUACAAUACCGGUGACCCCCGAAACUCUCCCGGUGGCCGAAACUGGACUUCCUAUAUAUAAAUCUUUACCUCCGGACCAUUCCGGAACUCCUCGUGACGUCCGAGAUCUCAUCCGGGACUCCGAACAACUUUCGGUUAACCGCAUACUAAUAUCUCUACAACUCUAGCGUCACCGAACCUUAAGUGUGUAGACCCUACGGGUUCGGGAGACACGUAGACAUGACCGAGACAACUCUCCGGUCAAUAACCAACAGCGGGAUCUGGAUACCCAUGUUGGCUCCCACAUGCUCCACGAUAAUCUCAUCGGAUGAACCACGAUGUCGAGGAUUCAAUCAAUCCCGUAUACAAUUCCCUUUGUCAAUCGGUACGUUACUUGCCCGAGAUUCGAUCGUCGGUAUCCCAAUACCUCGUUCAAUCUCGUUAUCGGCAAGUCACUUUACUCGUUCCGUAAUGCAUGAUCCCGUGACUAACUACUUAGUCACAUUGAGCUCAUUAUGAUGAUGCAAUACCGAGUGGGCCCAGAGAUACCUCUCCGUCAUACGGAGUGACAAAUCCUAGUCUCGAUCCGUGCCAACCCAACAGACACUUUCGAAGAUACCUGUAGUGCACCUUUAUAGCCACCCAGUUACGUUGUGACGUUUGGUACACCCAAAGUAUUCCUACGGUAUCCGGGAGUUGCACAAUCUCAUGGUCUAAGGAGAUGAUACUUGACAUUAGAAAAGCUUUAGCAAACGAACUACACGAGCUAGUGCCAUGCUUAGGAUUGGGUCUUGUCCAUCACAUCAUUCUCCUAAUGAUGUGAUCCCGUUAUCAAUGACAUCCAAUGUCCAUGGUCAGGAAACCGUAACCAUCUAUUGAUCAAUGAGCUAGUCAACUAGAGGCUCACUAGGGACAUGUUAUGGUCUAUGUGUUCACACAUGUAUUACGAUUUCCGGAUAACACAAUUAUAGCAUGAACAAUAGAUAAUUAUCAUGAACAAGGAAAUAUAAUAAUAACCAUUUUAUUAUUGCCUCUAGAGCAUAUUUCCAACACUCAGCAAGCGGUAUCUCAUCCAUACCCAUGGCGAGUUCCUUCUCUUUGGUGGCGGUGGUCUUGGUUCUGCGUUGGGGGGCAUUGGAGCCCUCUGCUGCCUCUGUGUUGCGCAUACGCUUGGAUCCCGUGUCACGGCUUGGAUUGGAGCGGCGAGCCGGAGCACCUGAGCCACCACCUAAAACACACACCACAAAACAAACACGCAUGAAACGCGAGAAGGAUCAAUGCAAAGACCACAGCAAAGCAGGUGAAACAAGUAGACAUGGCACGUGAGAAGUGCCACAAGAGGGAUUUGAGACAACGGUAGUAUCGUGUGUUGCGCCAUGUGCGGUAGUACAGCUCCAAGGGGCGGUAGUACCGUAGACGCGGUAGUACCGCACCAGCAGGGCGGUAGUACCGGACCUGCGGUAGUACCGCACCUAAAGAGCGGUAGUACCGCAUGGUUGCAGAUCUGAAACGGCCACGGAGAUCUGAGCACAACCGUGUCAACACGCGGUACUACGGUCGAUCAAAUCCAUCACGGGACAACUAUAGCAAGUACCAUCACUACACAAAACUACUCUCCUACGUCCUACUCUUGCAUAGAUUUGGCCUAAAAUCUCAAGAACAACUUGCAUCUCCCCAAAACCUAAAAGCAACAAGACGAACAAUAAAAAGGGAGGGAUUGGGGAGAAACCUUGUUCCAUGGAAAGAGGGAGUGGUGGGGAAUGAUCCCACCGGUUGGAAUCCGAGGAGAGCGGCCGGAGACGGAGAUCCGGCGAGGACCUCCGGCGCCGUUCUUGAGCGAGAGAGAGAGACGGAGUGGGGAGAGAGACGAAUGGGUAUGGGGGAGUUAGAACUCCCCCUGCCCGUGUUUAACCCCCCACGCGCCCUCGACCGCACGGUAGUACCGCACGUCAUCGCGGUACUACCGCCACGGGUGAAAGUACCGCACCGUGACUUUAGUACCGCUCCCCCAGGCGGCAGUAAAAAAAUUACUGCUGCGCUGGGUGCGGAAGUACCGUGCGCUCCUCACGCGGUAGUACCGCACGUCAUUGCGGUAGUACCGCCCGGGCGGGAGUACCGCACCGAGGCCGUAGUACCGCUCCCCCAGGCGGCAGUAAAAAAUUACUGCCGCGCUGGGUGCGGAAGUACCGCCCCCUCCCUUUUGCGGUAGUACCGUGGCAGGCCGCGGUAGUACCGUGAGCUCAAGAAAAGACAGUUUCAACCAAAAGAGAGAACACCGAAGCACGGAACCUUCAAGCGAGAGACCACACCAAAGAGCUAACACACUGGACACCAUAAUCACAAGCUCGACACGAAGGAAAAGAGGCAAGAGACAACACAGACCAAAAACGAGACACAGACUCUCCAAGGAGAGGGCGGUGGCCGGAGCCACCUAUGUUUGAGUCAAUUGGUAUGGCACCGCGAAGAAUUAUCCUUGGGCCCAUGACCAAAACUCGUCUUUGAAGCACAAGUACCAUCAAAAAUGGCUAAUGUGAAAGAGUUGAUCACUUUAUGCAUAAUGGGGGAGGGAGAGUUCAUUGAGAGAACAACACUCCCCCUAUGUCCAUGCCUACACCUAGAUUAGACAACAAGUUGAGUGUGGUGGGGUGUGCAAGGGUUCAAGCAACAUUUCUCGAAUCAAUAAUAUUUAGCUCAUGCCUUAACUCGCGAAAUCUUGCUUCAUCCAAAGGCUUCGUGAAAAUAUCUGCAAGGUUAUCAUGGGUGUUGACGUAGUUGAGCUCGAUCUCCCCUCGCCUAAUGUGAUCUCGGAUGAAGUGAUACCGAAUCUCAAUAUGCUUCGUCUUGAAGCGUUGCACGGGGUUGAGAGAAAUCUUGAUGGCACUUUCAUUAUCACACCAAAGAGGCACUUUGUCACAAAUGACACCGUAAUCCUUUAAAGUUUGCCUCAUCCAUAAGAGUUGUGCACAACAACUGCCGGCCGCCACAUACUCCGCUUUGGUGGACGAGAGAGACACACAACUUUGCUUUUUAGAAGACCAACUUACCAAAGAGCAACCAAGGAAUUGGCACCCUCCGGAAGUGGACUUCCUAUCCACUUUGUCUCCCGCCCAAUCGGAGUGCGAAUACCCUACAAGCUUGAAGUUUUCUCCUCUUGGGUACCAUAAGCCAAAGUUUGGGGUAUGAGCCAAAUAUCGAAAGAUUCGCUUGACCACCACAAAGUGGCUUUCCUUAGGUGCGGCUUGAAACCGUGCACAAAUCCCCACACUCAACAUGAUAUCCGGUCUAGAUGCACAAAGGUAAAGCAAGGAACCAAUCAUGGAGCGAUAUACCUUUUGAUACACCGCUUUACCAUUGGGAUCGAUGUCAAGUUGGCACUUGGUGUGCAUUGGAGUGGACGCCGGCUUGACAUCACUUAGCUUGAACCUCUUGAGCAUGUAUUGAGUGUAUUUGGCUUGGUUGAUGAAGGUUCCUUCUCUUCUUUGCUUUACUUCGAAACCGAGAAAGAACUUCAACUCUCCCAUGGAAGACAUCUUGAACUUUGAGGUCAUGAGUGCGGAAAAUUCCUCAUUGAAAGCUUUGUUAGGGGAACCAAAGAUAAUGUCAUCAACAUAUAGUUGGCACACAAACAACUCCCCUUUGACCUUCUUAGUAAAAAGAGUGGGGUCGAUUAGCCCAACUUCAAACCCACGAUCUUGUAACAACUCGGUAAGGUGGUCAUACCACGCACGUGGGGCUUGUUUAAGGCCAUAGAGUGCCUUAUCGAGUUGAUACACAUGAUCGGGAAAGUAGGGAUCCUCGAACCCGGGGGGUUGUUUGACAUAAACCAACUCAUUAAUAGGACCAUUAAGAAAAGCACUCUUCACAUCCAUCUGUUGCAACUUAAAGUUGUGAUGAGAAGCAUAAGCAAUCAACAAACGAAUAGAUUCAAGGCGAGCAACGGGAGCAAAGGUUUCACCGUAGUCGAUACCCUCGACUUGGGAGUAGCCUUGUGCCACCAAUCGUGCCUUGUUGCGGAUGAUGGUCCCAUGAGCAUCUUGCUUGUUCUUGAAUAUCCACUUGGUUCCAAUGACAUUGUGGUUCCCCGUUGGCCUUGGCACUAAUCUCCACACCUUGUUGUACUCGAAGUUGUUGAGUUCUUCAUGCAUGGCAUUAAGCCAAUCCGGAUCUUCGAGUGCUUCAUACACCUUUUGGGGUUCAACACAAGAGACAAAUGCGUGAUGUUCACAAUAGUUUGCCAAUUGUCUACAAGUGCUUACCCCCUUUUGAAUGCUUCCAAGCACAUUCUUCAUGAGAUGACCCUUGGUGGAGAGCUUGGAUGCAAUCUUGGUGGCACGACGCUCCAAUUCCUCCUCGGUGGUGAGUUGAGGAGCGAUCAGUUGAUCAUCUUGAGCGCCGUCUUGAGCUUGUUCUUGAUCUUGAACUUGCUCGGAGGAGAGAACUUGACCUUGGGCAUCACAUGGUGUGUCACCACCGUCUUGAGCAUGAUCUUGCCCUUGGUCUUGUUCAUGAGGUUGAGGGCCUUCACUGUGUUCUUCGGAAGCGUGUGGGCCUUGGGUUGGUGAUGGCUCCACUUGAGUGGAGCAUUGUCCUUCUCCUUCGGCCACAAGGGGUUCCUCAAUGGGUAGGAUAAAACCAACACCCAUUCUUCUUAUGGCUUGAGUAGGAAUUUCAUCACCUACAUCACAAGUGCCACUUUGCUCCACUUGGGAGCCGUUAUUCUCAUCAAACUCCACGUUACACGUCUCCUCAAUAAGUCCCGUGGAUUUAUUGAGGACACGGUAAGCAUGAGAGUUUGUAGCAUAACCAACAAAUAUGCCCUCAUAAGCUCUAGCUUCAAAUUUAGACAACCGAACACCUUUCUUGAGAAUGAAACACUUACACCCGAACACCCGAAAGUACUUGAGGUUGGGCUUGUUACCGGUGAGUAUCUCAUAUGGAGUCUUGUUCAAGCCCUUGCGGAGGUAGAGCCGAUUGGAUACAUGACACGCGGUGUUGAUGGCUUCGGCCCAAAAGUUGUAUGGAGACUUGAACUCCGCCAUCAUGGUCCUUGCCGCAUCCAUCAACGUCCGGUUCUUCCUCUCCGCAACACCGUUUUGUUGAGGGGUGUAAGGUGCGGAAUAUUGAUGCUUGAUCCCCUCAUCACUAAGAAACUCAUCCAAGGUGUAGUUCUUGAACUCGGUGCCGUUGUCACUUCUUAUUGUCAAGAUCUUUGCAUUGUGUUGACGUUGGGCUUCAUUUGCAAAGUCAAUGACGGUUUGUUGGGUCUCGCUCUUCCUCUUGAAGAAAUACACCCAAGUGUAUCUUGAAUAGUCAUCCACAAUCACCAAGCAAUACUUCCUACCCCCAAGACUAUCAAAGGAUGGAGGCCCAAAGAGAUCCAAGUGAAGGAGCUCCAAAGGCCUCUUCGAGUAAAUGAUAGUCGUGGGAGGGUGAGCCUUCUCAUGUAGCUUUCCUUUGAUACAAGCACUGCAAGCACGAUCUUUAGCAAAACUAACAUUCGUUAGUCCACGGACAUGGUCCCCCUUGAGAAGACUUUGCAAAGAUCUCAUAUUGACAUGGGCUAAACAGCGAUGCCAAAGCCAUCCCACGUCAACUUUAGCCAUUAGGCAUGUCGCGGUCUUAGUGGGUCGCUCCGAAAAGUUAAUCACAUAGAGACCGUUCUUGACAUGCCCAACAAAGGCUACUUUAAGAGUCUUGCUCCACAAGAGGGCCACGGUAUCAAUAUCAAAGAAAGUGGCAAAGCCCAUGAUUGCAAGUUGACGAACGGAAAGUAAAUUGUAUGCAAGGGACUCAACAAGCACGACCUUCUCAAUCGUGAGAUCAUGAGAAAUGACUACUUUGCCGAGUCCCAAUACCUUAGAAGACGAGGCAUCACCCCACUCGACAUUGGUGGGCAUAGAUGGAAUCUUGUGCACGUCCACCACCAAGUCCUUGCUUCCGGUCAUAUGAUUUGUAGCUCCACUAUCGAGCAACCAUGAUCCCCCACCGAAAGCAAACACCUACAAGAGAUCAAUGCUUGGUUUCAGGUACCCAUUUGAUAAUGGGUCCUUUGAUGUUAAUAACAAGGGUCUUAGGAACCCAAAUAGACCAUUCAAUAUACUCAUGAGGAGAACCAACAAAUUUGGCAUAAACAUGCCCAUCACUAGCACGGCAUAACACAUAAGAAGGAUUAAAAUCGCCGGCUUUGUUGGAAGGGGUGGCAUUGUCCUUCUUGACACCGUCACCCUUCGCAUUGUUCUUCUUCUCCUUGGAAGCACCCUCUCCCUCCUUCACAAAAGUUUGCUUGAGAGGAGGAGGUCGUUUGGUCUUGCCAUUCUUCUUCUUGUUCUUGGGCUUGGGUGCGAACCCAAUCCCCUCCUUGGCCACAACUUCCUUUUGAUUGCUCAAAAGGUCGUUGAGGUUCUUCUCACCUUGUAUGCAUGACACAAGGCCUUUCUCAAGUUGCUCCUUCAACUUAGCAUUUUCCUCAACAAGAUGCACAUGCUCACAACAAGGGUUAGUAGCAUUUGCAUUAUCAAUUAACACCAUAUGAGGAAAGGUGGCUUUCUCCUUGGUUAGCCUCACUUGGAGUUGAUCAUGAUACUCCUUGAGGCUAGCAUGGACACCCUUCAAGACUUUGUGAGCCUUGUCGAGAAUAUCAAACUCCUCUUUGAGUCUAGCAAGAUCAACCCCAAGCUUUGCCUUCUCGGAGUUUAGCACACGAGAAACAACAAGAGCAUGAUCAAGAUCUUUCUUUAACUUAGCAUGAUCAUCGUUGUGUGACUCCUCAAGAGCCAAACUAAGACCACGCUCUUCGUCAAGAGCAUUGGAAAGAUCUGAAAUCUCAUUGGCAUAGUCACGACUAUGCCCCUCCAUCUUAGAGAUGGUAUCUUCGUGAGCCUCGAUCAUGUCAUUGGCUUCACCAAGUUGUUCCAAGAGAGCAACAAAGUGCUUCUUGGAUUUACCCUUGAGUUUACCCAUAAAGGUCUCAAACUCAUUCUCCUCCACAUUUGUCCCCUCAUGUUCAUCAAUGCUAUCCGAAGAAGGAUGAUUAAUGAUGGUAGUUUUGAUGUUGGGGGUUACCUUGUUGGUGGCUUUAGCCAUGAGGCACUUGGCGGUGAUGUUCUCAUUGGGUGAGUCAAAGAGAGACACCCGUGGAGUCGUCGCAAUGGCAACGGAGGCCAUGGCAACCGACUCACCAUCUUCCUCAUCGUCAUCAUCCUCAUUGUACCCUUCUUGUACCACCAAUGCCUUGGGAGAAGUCUUCUUGGUGAAGUUGCUCUUGUUGGGGAAUGACUUGGCCUUGUCCUUUCGGAUGAGCUUUCCACCAUUGUCUUCCCUCUUCUCAUAAGGGCACUCCGCAACAAAGUGGCUCACAUUGCCACAAUUGAAGCAAGUCCUCACUCGUUGCUUGCCCUUUGCGCCACUUGAAUUGUUCUUGUUGAAGUUGGGCCUUGAGUUCUUCUUGCUCGAAAAUUGCCUUGAAGCAAGCACCAUGUGUUCAUGAUAGGUAUACUUCGUAUCUUCGAGGUUGCUCUCCUCUUCUUCCUCUUCAUCCUCUUCCUCCAUACUAACCUUGGCCUUUAGAGCAAGGUUGGGCUUCUUUACUCUUUGAGAGCGAAGAACCGCAUUGUCGGCGGUCUUGUCCAAGAUGCUCAUAGAAACAAACUCAUCCAACACUUCACUUCAGGACAAGGUGUGGAAGUCCGGCCUUUGACGAAUGACGGAGGACAUGGCUUUGUGGUAGGGCAUCAUUGCCUUGAGGAAUUUGCGCUUGAUCCAAUUGUCAUCCGUGUCCUUACUUCCAUGAUCUCGGAGAGAGACCGCGAGUUUAGUUACUCUUCGAUAAAGCUCACGAGGUUCUUCAUCUUCUUUCAUUGCAAACUCAUCGGCUUCAUCUUGCACCACUUCAUAGUUGGAGCGUUGAAUGCUUGCACUUCCCCGAUAGAGGGAAACCACUUGGUGCCAAGCAUCUUUGGCCACGGUGUAGGGCCGGAGAUGAGGAAGAUCUUCGGGUGGGAUUGCUUCUUGGAUGAUGAAGAGAGCAUUCUCAUUGAAUUGAUCAUCCACUGCUUCUCUAGGAGUGAGGUUCCUUCGGUCAUGCGGAUAGAAACCUUCUUCAAUGAUUCUCCAAAGGUUAGUGUUCACAUGAUUUAAAUGACACUUAAAACGAUAGACCCAAGAAUCAAAUUCUACAUUCUUCUCAAUCUUAGGGGCCGGUCCGGCAUGAUUCAAAUGAGUGGAAGGAAGCGGUCCACCAUAGACAAGUGGAGGUUCCACAUGGGCAAAGAUGUCGGUGCCAUUUUUACCACUAGAAGAAGGAGCUUUCUCGCUAGUAGCUUCCCCCUUGUCGGAGGUAGCAUCCGUCACCUUGUUAGCGGGAUCACCCACUUUCAACGGUGCGGUGAAAAGUUUAAGCCCUUCUAAGAAUUUAUUAAACAUGCUUUCGACCUCGGUCUUCAUGGAGGUUUUCAAUGUGUCCAACGCCACAUUGAAUUCCUCACGAGAGACCGUGGUUCCCCCAUCUCCCGUAGAUGAGACCGGAUUCACACCGGAGUGCUCCUCCACACCGUCUACAACGCCAACCAUACUCUUCGGACGGUAAAGUCCUUAAUCAAGAGACGAGGCUCUGAUACCAAUUGAAAGGAUCGAUAUAGUUGACUAGAGGGAGGGUGAAUAGGCACCUAACAAUUUUUAGCUUUUGUUUACCAAUUUAAACUUUGCAUCAAAGUAGGUUGUCUAGAUAUGCAACUAGGUGAGCAACCUAUAUGAUGCAACAACAAUAAGCACACAUGCAAGCAAGAGAUAAAGCACAAAUAAGCUUGCACAAGUAAAGGCACGAGAUAACCAAGAGUGGAGCCGGUGAAGACGAGGAUGUGUUACCGAAGUUCCUUCCCUUUGAGAGGAAGUACGUCUCCGUUGGAGCGGUAUGGAGGCACAAUGCUCCCCAAGAAGCCACUAGGGCCACCGUAUUAUCCUCACGCCCUCACACAAUGCGAGAUGUCGUGAUUCCACUAUUGGUGCCCUUAGAGGCGGCGACCGAACCUUUACAAACAAGGUUGGGGCAAUCUCCACAACUUAAUUGGAGGCUCCCAACGAUACCACGAAGCUUCACCACAAUGAACUAUGGCUCCGCGGUGACCUCAACCGUCUAGGGUGCUCAAACACCCAAGAGUAACAAGAUCCACAAGGGAUUAGUGGGGGGAUUCAAAUUUCUCUUGGUGGAAGUGUAGAUCGGGACCUCCUCAACCAAUCCCUAGAGAAUCAACAAGUUUGAUUGGCUAGGGAAGGAGAUCAGGCGAAAAUGGAGCGUGGAGCUACAAUGGAGCUUGGAGGUGGAAGAGGUAGUCAACUAGAGGAGGAAGACACCCCUUAUAUAGUGGAAGAACAAAUCCAACCGUUAUCCACCAACUCAGCCUGCGCAGCGCGGUACUACCGCACCUGAGGCGCGGUACUACCGCAGGGGCACGCGGUACUACCGCAGGGCCCCGUGGUACUACCGCCCACGCAGCAGAGACCAGAACAACCAAAAAUGCACUAAAGCAGAGGGCGGUAGUACUGCUGGCGCGGUACUACCGCUCCCCCUUGCGGUACUACCGCAAGGCAGGGGCUGUCCAGGGAUGGGAAGGCACGGAUAUAAAAAUUACAUCCGUGGCUACUUCCGCAGAGUUGGAGUCGAUGCAAAAACCCGACGCGGUAGUACCGUAAGCCAGCAGCGGUACUACCGCGCGAGGCGCGGAUGUAAAAAAUUACAUCCGCCCCUUACUGUCGUGUACUUGCGGAACUAAGUCAGAGACCGCGGUACUACCGCUUACUAGAAGCGGUACUACCGUGGGUCCUUGCGGUACUACCGCACCAGCGGGCGGUACUACCGCGAGGUCCUGCGGUACUACCGCUCUAAGGAGCAGUACUACCGCACGCCCUAGUUCGGCAAGCAAGAGCAAUGUUUGCAUAGACAAAGAAAACAAAGGAUGCUCCAAAGGCUAGAGGAAAGGAGGUGCAAAGGAAGAUGUGUACGUGAUGAAUCCACCCAACCUUUCCAACGCGGACCCCCUCUUAAUAGUACGGCUUCCCUACGACUCAAUACCACCAAAAAGAAACAAAGAGAAACGCCGUCUUCUAUAGCCUUCGAGGGGAACCAAAUCAUCUUGUGCCUAGUCAAUAUAUCUGAAAUAUUCGAUGCACAUGAUUAGUCCGCAAAAGCAUUGUCAUCAAUCACCAAAACCAACUAAGGGAUAAAAAUGCCCUUACACACGCCAAGUGGUGUCUUAUCUCCGAGUGAAUCUCCUAGUAAAUAUAGCUCGACUUCAAGGGGUGUCUUAUCUAGCAGAGACUAUGUGUUUUGUGUUUCAAGCGCAACCUUCUAAUUGGAAUUGCCUCCGGUCUUUGCAUACCUCCACAUCGAAUAUCCCAAGUCCAUCGUGCAUAUAGAUAUCAGCCAGGUAUUGUAAUAUGUUAGACACAAACUUCAAUGCCAAACUGUCUAACUUUGGGCUUGUGACACAAGUCAACCAUACCCAAACCUCACGCACGACGAUGAAUAUAGCCGGGACUCGAUCAUACAACGACCCAGCAUGUUUUGAGACCGGAAAGACAUGUGGGCAGUCUGAUGUGUACGGCUUAGGCGUGAUGUUGCUCAAAAUUGUCUGUGGUGAAAAACCAACCACACAGGCUAAUGGCAAGAACAACCUUAUCGAGAAGGUCCUAAAAUGUCAAGCGAACAAUACAAUUCUCGGUGCAGAUGACAAAGGGUUGAGAGGCCAAUUUGACGGGGAACUCAAAAGUGUGUUGGAGAUCGGGCUCAUGUGUGUCAACCCGGAUCGUCAGCGUCGUCCACACAUCAAAAGAGUGAGGGGUUUCUUGAUGCAACUGCUAUUUUUAGUGUCCACUUCAAACCCCACCAUCCCUUCUGGAGUAAAUGGGAGGGGACCAAGUAGCUCCAACACAUACCCUGCGCAUUCACCGGCCGAUGAAGAAGCCGACGAUUCACCACUGCUAGUCUAGCCUCAAUAUGAGGUACCCCCUCCAGCGAAGGACUGCCAAAUGAAGUUCAUAAUUUCCACAAAAAAUGAAGUGAAGUUCGCCAUGGAAGAUACUUCUUCCCUCUUGUUAACUAUAUGCUGCAUCCAUCCAUUCACCCAUCAUGUAUGCCUGUAUUACCUCUUUCUCUAUGUGUGAUACAGUAAUAAACAUAUAUAUAAUGUGAAAAUGUAUUGAAUGAUGAAUCUAAUAGUGUUGAUUUGGUAUUAUAGAUGUUGAUAAUUUUUUUCUAUAGUUUGUUUUAAAAUUUAUGUAGUCUAACUUACAACGAUAGUAAUACACCUUGAAUGCACCGAUACGGAUACGGGUAUCAGUAUCGGGCCAAUACGGAUACGUUGUAGCUACCCAAAGCAACCUGGAGAAGAUGAAAAUAAGAAAUCCUCAGAGAUCAGAGAAGAAAGAAGAGGAGAUGAGCCUGGCUGGGCAGGAGAAAUGGAGAAGAGAAGUGUAAAUACAUGGCUGCUGCGUGAGAGGGGACGUUGAUGAGGAGGAGGAGGAGCUUGUUGACGGCUAGCCGCCGCCGCUGUCCCAGGGACCUGGGUGAGCAGCCGCUGGCGACACAGGCGCCGCCUGGUGUGAGCACGGGAAGGGGGAAAGACGUUGUGAGGGAAAGGAUAGAGGGCAUCACGGCACCAGGGUAGUUGGUUGCCUCUUAAAUGGGCUGAGUGGGCUCUUACCUGGGCUGGAAAAGUAUCCAAGACGUAUUAACAAAGUAUCCUUCGAGUAUCGUAAUUGUUUUAAAUCAUUUAUUCUCAGAUACUCCAGGGACACGUAUCGGGGGCGUAUCGGAGGAGUAUCAGUAUCGGAUACGGAUUCGCUGGUCGACUGAAGUAUCCGUGCAUUCGAGUAAUACACAAAGUAAAUCCGUAAAAAAACAUCCUAAGUAAGUUGAAACGGCGGGGUGCGAAAAAUAUCCAUUUUCAAAUCCUACCGAUUUCACUAACCAAACCAAGGAAGCAGCGCACUGGAUUUGCGCUGGCAAUGUCUUUUGAUACAUGUGCAAAAUCGUCGUUAAAGCAAUUUGUGUAUGCAUACACACAACGAAAUAAAGGCAGUAUACAUAUUGCAGCCAGAGCAUUCGCAUCUCUCAUCCAAUAUUACAGCAAACCAGCAGGAGUACAUCAGGAAAUCAAGAAACAUGGCACCAUGUCCUCACCCGACAACAGUCCACCAGUCCCCAGAUCGGCGGAUCGAUCGAUGGAUCAGCGAAGCUCGUGGAUCACUUGUUGUUCAUGAGCACCUUGACGAGCUCCUUGCACUGGACGCGGCCCUCGCCGCGGGGGUCGGCCUUGCGGAGCAGCUCGUCGGCCUCCUCCUCCGUGAGCCGGUCGCCGUGGGUGAGCAUCACCUGCCGCAGCUGCUCCGCGGGGAUGACCCCGCUCCCGUCGUCGUCGAACGCGUCCAGGCACUGGGCCAGGCCCUUGGCCGACACGCCGGCGUUGGCCUUGCGCGCCGCCACGGCCAGGAACGUGGGGAGGUCGACGGCGCCGGCGCCGCCCGCGCCCGCGUCCUCGAGGAAGCCCCGCGCCUCGGCCUCGUCCACGUUCUGGCCCAGCGAGCGCAGCGCCGUGACCAGCUCGCCGGCGGCGAUGCGGCCGUCCUCGUCGCCGUCGAACAGGUCGAACACCUCCUUGCACUCGUCCGCCUGCGCCUGGGUCAGCUUGGCCGCCAUGGCGGGGAGAGACCAGAGAGAGCUGAACUGCUGAAGGGAUAGGGGAAAGAAAUGGACUGAUUGAUUGGCCUAAUUGCUGUCCGGGCUGUUCGUCACGAUGAAGCAACCUAGCGAAGGUCGCUUUUCUUUUCUUUUGACAGGUCAAAAAUUAAGAGAGAUCAUAAGCAAUGACAACUUUCCCUCUCUCGUUAUUCUCCGAAGCAAAUCGCUUUGAACUCUGCCGAUUUUAGCAUCUUUAUGGUAAAGAUAUUUAUAUUAUGAUAAAAAAAUCAACGGCUUAUGCUUUGAUGUAAACAACUGACAGGUUGAAAAGGGAAAAAGAAUAAUAGUUCAACGAGCUGGCGCCAACCAUGUGCCCAACAAUUGAUCAUCAUAGCAUAGCGACGUGCCAUCCACCACAUUUGGUUUCGAUCAAUCAUAAGAUGUGGUACAAGUUGCAAAUACAAUGCAGCUGUUGGAUUCGCUGUCGACUUGAGUUGUGUUUCGUCGUCCAACAACUGUACCAAGGCGAAUUUGCUCCAGCGCAGUUCAGAGAUCACUACCACCGAAGUUGUACAAAGUUCGCAGAAACCAAGCAUGCCAAAUGAAAUCCAUACAAUGUACUUCCGGCUAACACAAACCAAGCAGACAUUUAAAAUGCAGGGCGAAACCAAGAUUUGCACAAAGCCCCUAAAUUCCAUGAUAAGACGAAGCCUAACAGGCAAGAUAAGUGCCACAACCAAAAGAAACCAGGUAAUUCCGAUGCUGCUCCCCACGACUACACCGCUACAAGAUAACCCGACCAACUACCCAACAGGCAACAGUACUUAAAAAAACAGGCGCAUAGCACAAAAUACAACUUUGCGAGUCUGUCUGGCAUUCCAUUCCAAUCCACUUGAGAGCAAAUUUCAAGCUUAUUUCGUGGGAGGGACCCCUGUCCUCGCCACCUCAC
rnacentral:lncRNA from 1 species